AAACAGAAACAAUUUGUAACACCCCCUAACUCUAAACCGUCACCAAAAAAAGGUUUAGAGCAUUACCAGAGUUUACAGAAUAAUUACACACAAUUCCAUUAUUUUCUUAUGUUUAUGUCAAAGCUGUCUUCUUGAGCAGCAGUCACUAAAAUAUUUAUAACUGGAGCUAUGAAACUCCAAAUUAAGUUCCGUUAAUUUUUGUUAAAACUAGACUCAUAUACCAUUCUACCAUGAAAUUUUCAGAAUUUUUGAUUUAGCCAAUUAAUACAGUUUAUUCCUCAAAGUUACCCCUGGUGUGCUGUUUGACAGCUUCGACCUUUCUUUACUAAAAUUUAAUUAUCUCAUAGCAUAGGACUCGGAUAAUGUUCCCAUUUAUUUCUCUUGAAAAUAGACUCAUUAAAGAUUCUAUGAAUAUAAAUUAUAGCCCAUAAUUAUUUUUAUACAAUUUUUAAUGAUUUUCCCAAUUAAAAAUAGGGAAUUCCAAAAUCAAUCUGACAUUGUCUCACAAAAAUUUAAAUUCAUACUAAAUUAGUCAAAUCCUAUUUUAUACCAUAACCAAACCUAAAUUUAUCUAUUUCAUCCUUACAUUUAUAAUUUUAAAUUGACACACACAUAAGACAUCUUAGGUACAUGCCAUUACCCAUAAUUAACACACUUUACCUCAUUGAAUUCGGGAUCGGCCUGGGAUACUGAUUCAACGUUCUAUCUUUACUUAACCUACGCACGGAAACAAACCGUGCGCUUUCCGUGCGCUGAGUAUGGUAUACUCAAUGGUAUUUCUAUAAUCCGAACACUUGAUAAUAUAAGAAUUAAACUUAAAAUCACAAUAACAAAUAUAACUAUUCAUUUAUUUAUUUUAUAGAUAAGUUUCAUUUACUUACCAUAAAAAUUCUAUACAAGCCAUAUAACAAACACAACAACAUAUUUGCUCAAUUCUUUUCAUUUGCUUACCGUAUAAAUUAUUUACAAUAUAUUCACAAUUCACUUGUAUUCACACUUUACUUCUUAACAAUAUACCAUUUUAAUUCUUUCUAACAUCAAUCAUCAUCCAUUUGAACUUCACUCAUUUCAUGAACCUUUUGGUUCAUGUUUUCAAUCUCAUAUCUCAAUUUCAAUUCUCAAUUCAAUUUCUCAUUUCAUUCCAAUAGCUCAAUCAAUCAAAUUCACUCGAUUUAUCUUUUCAUUUAUUUACCCCUAUUAACAAGACUCGGACUCUGAUAGAUACGUGGAUUCCUCCCAAACACACCAGAAUAUCCAACCCAAACACACCCGGAAUAUUAUAAAUCCUCCAUAACACACCAGUAUAUCAUAUCCUCCCAAACACACCAAUAAGGCAUUAAAUGCCUCUUCGGAUAAACCGAAGUAUAUAAUAACAGAAACAUCUUCUCGGCCGAACUACAAAUCUCCUCAUCACAUCACAAAUUCAAUGGCAUGCCAUUUGUAUCCAAUUUGGUCCGAUACUGUUAAUAGGGUAUUUGUUUCAUUUUCUCAAUUUAAUAAAUCUUUCAUCAAUAUACCAUUCUAAUAAUCACAUAUAUUCACACAUUUUCACAAUUUCAUACAUUUUCAUUCAAUUCAACAUAUAUAUUUCAAUUAUUCACAUUAAUUCAUAAUUCAAUACAACUCAAUUCACUUUUCAAUAUGAAAUAUUCAAUUAUCACAGAUCUCAUAUAUUCAUAUCAAUUCCCUCAUAUUCCAAUCAAUAUAAUAUUUCAAUAUAACAUUGAUUCAAUAUUCAAAUUUUUACAUAAAUCAUAUAUAUAUUAUAUAUUUCAAUCAAUAUAAAUUCAAUCAAAAUGAUUUCAAUCAAUAUAAAUUUGAUAAAUUCAUCACAUACCAAAAUCAAUCCAUUUCAAUUGUAAAACAUCAUAAUUCUAACACUAACAAUUGUCAUAUGUAUAUAAAUAUAACAAAUAAUGACUGAGUUCGGAUUAUAGAAAUACAAACCGUAUUUUCUUGAGCUAACUCCUCAACGAUCUUUUCUUUUCCUUUAGAUGCCGAUGCCUCGUUUUCCUUGUUAGCUAAAAAUAAUAAAAAUUUACAUUAUUAAUUACAGUAUUAAUUUAAAUAAUUAAUUAAAUUUCUACUCAAUUUAUGCCUAAUGUUCGUUUGGUUGCAACUCCCAAAUUUUCUUCAUACUUUAUCCGAAAUUAUUAGUUGUUGUUCUGACUUCAUCAAUAACUUUAUAUUUCAUCCGGAUAUAUUACUUUAUUGCUCUAGUUUCAACAAUAACUUCAUAUUUCAUCCAGAUAACUUAGUUAUUUUCUUUCCUUUUUUUUUUCUUCCUAUGUGAAAAACCCAAUAAAACUCUUGCUAGUUGAAAAUUCAUAUAUUUAUUUCAUACUUCAAUUCUAUUCAUUUUCUUCCAUAUUCAUCCUAACUAUCAAGUAUUCAUAAUAUAACCCUAAUUUAAAAUUUCUUUUAAUUUAAUCCCUCUAAUACAAAACUUAUAGCUUAACUUACAAUUUAAUCCUUUAUUAAUUCUAACUUAAAAUUUAUUCAAUUCCAUCCUUAAUAUAUCUUUUUCUUCAACAUGAACCAUGCUUAGAAAUCUCAUAACUUUCAAAAUUUCCACUUAAAACAAGUAGUAUUUAUCUCUAGGAUUCCAAAAACUCAAAAAUCAUAAGAAAAUGGGCUAAAUUGACUUACCAAAUUAACUUGGAACCUUUAAAACUUUAUUUUUCCCUUUUUCUUUUCUUCCUUUCUCCCUUCGCUGUUUCGUCCCCUCUAUUCUGUUUCUUUUCUUCUUUUUAUUCUUUUUGUUUCUUUCUUUUGUUUCUUUUAUAUAUAUAUAAUGACAAUAAUAACUAUAUUAAAAAUCUAUUUAAUAACAAAUAUUUAUUUAUCACUUGUACCAAUCAUUUUUAUACACUUGUUUUUCUUUUUUUUUAUAUAUUUAUAUAUAUUUAAUAUUUUAAUAAUAUACUUAUAUAAUAAGUAAACAUAUAUGAAUUUUAUAAAUGUAUGUAUACUAGUAUUACACAUGUCAUUAUACAUACCAUAUAUUUGUCAUUCUUUUCUUUAUUUAUCAAACAAAAAUCUCAUUAUUUAAUUAUUUAAUUAAUAAAUAUCUUUUAUUCUAAAAUUAAGUAAAUAUACAAUUAUAUUCCAAGUGUUCAAAUACAUAUAUUACACUUGUAUAAUUUUAUCAUCAUACAUUUGUCUUUAUUUAAAUUUAUUUUAUAACAUAAUAAUUUAAUAUCAAUUAAAUAAUAAUAACCAUAAUAAUAAAUUAAUUAAUUAAUAUAAGAAAAUCCUAGACUCUUCCAUCUUUUGCCGCCUAAAUUCAUACAUUAGGCAUAAUUGCCUACUUGGUCCUUUUUAUUUUCUUUUAAUCUACAAUUUAACUUUCAUCCUUUAUUCAAUUUAGUCAUUUUUCCUAAUUACUCUUAAUUAAGCUAAAUUCACUUAAUUAAAACUCUAAUUAACCACUCGAUUAACUUAAUAAAUAUUUUUAAUAAAUAUUUUCUAAUCCAUUUUUCAGAAACAGUGACCCGAAAAUACACUUUUCUAAUAACCUUAAAGUUUGGGUCAUUACACAAUUUUAUAGGGAUUGUCUCAUCAGUGGGACGGUGGACUCAUCUUUGGGGAUGUUGCGAGCGUGUUCCAAAACCAUCUGAUCAUCGCGAGGAAGCCAGGUGAAAACCAAAACAACAUGAUUACUGCCCACGGAAAGAAAUUCCCAUACAUUCACUCAGCUAUUGUGCUUCAAAAUUGUACCAUCUCGGGCACCCCUAACUACCUCUUGUUGAAGGACAAGAGCAAGAUGUACCUUGGUCGUCCCUGGAAAGCUUUGGCAAGGGCCAUCAUAAUGCAAAGCAAUAUUGAUGACAUCAUUACACUAGAGGGUUACUCCCCCAUAGAAGGUAUCGGUUACUUUGUAGAGUUACAAAACAGUGGACCCGAUGCCAAAACCGAAGGCAGGGUCAAAUGGCCAGCUAUUAAGAAAAUCUAUAUGAAUGAAGCCAAGAAAUGGACUCCUGACGUCUUUCUUGAAAUUGAAACUAACAAAUGGAUUUCGCAAACCGGCACUCCUUGUUAUCUUGACAUGGUCUAUGGAGUGUAAACUUCCAAAACCAUAGCCAUUAGUAUUAUUUUAUUAUCAUUAUUUGUAAUCAUACUGUCAAUUAUUGAUUAAUUUAAACAAAAUUUUCCUAUUUUUUAUUUAUAAUAAUAAUAUUCUACCCUUAUCCAAGGUAAAAGGGGAAUCAUAAUUAUUAUGUAUGGUCGACUGUGAAAUUAUUUUCUCAUUCCCUUAAUAAAAAAAUAGGGAAUAGUUUAUAUUAAGAUGAUAGUAAAAUAUAUAAUUUAUACAACUUUUGAAGAUGUACAAAUAUUAUUAUACACAUUCAUAUAUGAUAUCUUUUUUAAGUUACCUUUUUAUCAAAUAACUUUAAUUGAGUUACUUAAAAUUAAUUAAUUUUUUUAUUAGAAAAACAAAACAAACACAUUAAAACUAAUGCAACAAAGAAAACAUAAACAAAACAAUUGGAAAUUAAAAAUGAUGAAAUCAAUAGAUUGAAAUCAAUAGAUAAAAAAAGGGGGUGAAAAUUUAAUGUAAAAAAUUGAAAUCAACAACUAAAAAUUAAGAAAAACUUUGGUAAAAAUUUAAAAUUUGAAAACUUAUCACCAUAAAUGGUGACAUUAUCAAAUUUUGGUAUUUAAUUAAAAGUUAAAAUAGAAAAUUAAAAAUGAAAAAAAUUGACUGCCUACAAGAGAAUAAAAGACAAUUAAAUUUCAGAAAAAACUAAAAAUGAUUAAAAUAUUAUAAGGGAAAAAAUUCAUUUUUGUUUAUUUAAUAAAAAAGUAAUUAUUUUUAAAUAUUUUAAUUAAAGUUAAAAAAUUCAUAUAUGAAUAGGCAUUCAAUAAUACUUAUAUGUUUUUAAAAAUUGAUAAUGUGACUAUUUCUUUGGUGACUAAAACUAUAUAUUUUAGAAUGAUCAUAAAAUAAAUUAUUCUAAAAAUACAAUAUGUCAUUAUUAGAGAUAGAUAUAAAGUCUAAUAUGCUCUUAAGCUAUGAAACUAUUCUUGAAAUUAUUAGAGAUAAAUAUGAAAUUAUUCUUGGAAGAGCAUCAAAUACUCCUUAAUUUCGACUUCCAUUAUAGAGGUUGAGUUCGUUUCAUGUUUUGAGGCUACCUCACAUGGAGUAUGAUUGAAGAGUUUCACAUCCGAGUUUAGAUUUGUGGAUUCGACUUCUAUACUGUUGAUGAUAUAUUGUGACAAUUCAACUACAGUCUUUAUGGUUAAGAACAACAAAAGUGAAAGUCGAAGUAAACAUAUCGACAUUAAGUAUUUAGCUAUAAGGGGACAUGUUAAAGAAAAGAAAGUGGUCAUUGAACACAUUAACACUGAACAAAUGUUAGCUGAUCCUUUGACUAAAGGCAAGCCACCACACAAAGUUAAAGAUCAUACUGUCACUAGUAUCACUGAAUUACUAAUUAAUUGUUAUUAUUACUAGUAUUUAUGGACAAUACGAACCAAGUAGGAGAAUGAUGAAUGUGUUUUAUGGUUUGUGGGAAUAGCCCCAUGUUUGCUUCCAUUGCUAACAUUUUUGAUCCACUUUCACUUUGUAUGUGUGGUAGUGGGACAUGUUUUGGCGGUUUUUGAUGGGGAACCACCGCUAUAAAUCCUCCCAAGCAUAAAAAAAAUUCCAUUUAAUGAAGUUUUCGAGUGCUUAGAAGACUUUGGCGAUUUUCGUGUUUUCAUAUAGCUAAAUUUGACGUCCUUGCCGGUUGUUUGACACACUCAAUAGUGGUGUUACAAAGCCUAGAUUUUACAUAUGGUUCAUGCAAUAUUCGGAGGUAUUUAUGUUCGAUAUUUUCCGCUGCACUUUAACGUUUAAACUGUAAUUUAUACUUACAUUUAAAAUUUAAUUAGUUUUUUAAAUAUUAUAAUUUUAAUUCUAGUAAUUAGCCUAAAACAAUAUUUCUUAUUUUAAUUGUUAAAUAUAAUUAAAAUAUAUUAACAAUUAGUUUAUUAACUCAAAUAUUAUAAUAAAAAAUUUAAAUAAUAAUUAAAAAAAGUUGGCAUCAUAAUUUAAGUUGAUAAUAAAAUAGAAUACUAAAUAAAAAUAAAAUAUUGUAUAUUAUACAAAAAAAAUUAAUACAAAAGUAAAAAAAUAAUAUAUUGUAGUUAAUAAUAUAGUUUUACUUAUUUGUUUAUUCUUUGGCUCUUUCAAAUCAUCAAAAAUAUAAACACAUUUGUAAAUUGUAGAAGUUGUUUUUGUAACCAUAGAAUUCAAAUUUAUUAUGAAUGAUAAUAAACCUACAAAAAGAUAUAUAUAUAUACUAUGUAUAGAUUAUUUUCUUCUAAUUUUUUAAUUAAUACAUAAAACUAUUGAAAAUAAUAUAAGCAUGCAUCAAUAAUAGUUCAUCAUAACUACGAAAAAUAUUUACAUUAAAUUAAUUAAAUAUGAAAGAGAUUUACAUUAAAUUAAUAAACAUAUUUAAUAACGAUGAUUAGAAAUAAUUAUUAAAAUUUUAUAUGAAAACUCCUUUUACUUUUUCAAUAUUUCUCUCAUCCGUUUACAACUUCGGUGUAAUAAUAAUAGUAAUGCUAAUAAUAAACUAAAAAUAACCAUUAAUUUGCUAUUAAUUUGCUCAGAAGGGGUCACUUUGGUAGUAUAAAUAGGGCAUUUCAAUAACGUAUUAUUCAAGCCAAGGGGCAAUAAGCAAUAAGCAUCCCCACAACUUCAAAAAGUUUUUCUUUCUUUCUUUUCCUAUCUCUAUUUGAAAUCUGUUUCAGGGGAAAGAAGAAGGAAAAUUUUAUGAUUUUUUGAGGGCUUGUUAAUAAUAAAUAGAAAACAAUGGCGAACAAUGUUGCUGUUAUUGGUAUCUUUUCGGUGUUAUUGGUGACAGCAGUGGUGGGUGUUACGCAUUUAAAAAAUAAUGGUGAUUCGAAAAGCGGUGAAAUAUCAAGUUCGACGAAAGCGGUGCAAACAACAAGGAGCUGAUAAGAAUGAGUUUCCAAGCAGCGAUAGAGGAAAUAAGGAAAGUGUUGGCGAAUUCAGCGACGAUACAAGACUUGAAUAAAGAUGACAACAACAAAGCAGCCCUUAAGGUUUGUAAAGAAGUGUUGGAUUUAUCAAUAGCUGAUCUGCAACUUUCAUUUGAUAAGCUGGGGGAUACGAGAUGAGUAAGAUCGGUGACUACAUACUGAACCUGAGGGUGUGGUUAAGCGGUGCCUUAACUACCCUACAAACAUGUGUAGACUCAUAUGCGGAGGUAAAUAAUGAACAAGCGGAGAAGAUGAAUUCAAUUUUGAAGACUUCAAUAGAGCUUACCCAAAAUUCUUUAACGAUGGUGACUAAGUUAUCCACCAUCUUGAAUGGCCUUAACAUUCCAGGCCUCAAUAUUGGCACGACUGGGUUUGAACGUAAGCUCCUGUCUAACGAUGGACCUGAGUGGAUGGGCCACGCUGAGAGGAGACUACUUCAAGCAAAACCAACAGAUUUGAAGCCUAAUGUAACAACCCAAAAUUCGUGGGCACCAGAAAAGUGUGUUAUCGGGUCUCCGUCUUAGUGAAAUAAGUUCGAAAAUAAUUAUUAAAAAUAUUUAUGAGUCUAGUAGUGUAUUUAAUUGGGUUUUAAUUAAGUAAAUUUAGCUUAAUUUAGAGUAAUUAGUAAAAAGGAUUAAAUUGAAUAAGGGUAAAAGUUUAAUUAUAGAUUAAAGAAAAAUUAGAAGGACUUAAGAGGAAAUUAAACUAUUUCCUAUAGCUGAGGCGGUUUAACGUGGAAAAUAUCAAAAAUUUUAUUGAUUUAAAAAAAAUAUAUAUAUUUAAUAAUUAAGUAUAUUAUAUUAUAUUAUAUUAUAUUAUAUUAUAUUAUAUUAUUAUUAUAUAUAAAAGAAACAAAUAAGUUAAAAGAAACAGAAUGAAAGCAAACGAAACAGAGAAGAACAGGGGAGAAAGAAAGGAAAGAAGAAAGAAAAGGGGAAAUAAGGUUUAUGAAGCUUGGAGUUAAUUGGUAAGCUCAACCAAGUCCUUUUCUCAUAAUUUUGAUAUUUUAGAAGUCUUAAAACAAGUUUUUGAUGAAAUUAAGUUGUUAGUUUGGAAGUUCUUAGGUUUUUAAACAAAGUUCAUGUUGAAUAAAAUGAUGAAAUAGGUGUUUAAUUGAAUGAAAUUCAAGUUAGAAUAGAUAUAAGGAUUGAAUUGCAAAGUAAGCUAUAAGUUUUGUGUUUUAGGGACUAAAUUGAGGAAAAUUCGGAAUUAAGAAAAUAUUUUGAAAAUUUAAUAGUUAAAUUUGAGUUUAAAUGAAAUUUGAAUAGGAAUAAGGUGUGAAUUGGUGUUAUAAAUUUGGUUAUUAACAUUUUACAUCAAAACAGUUUUGGGAAGUAGCAAUGGUCUGACUUUGAAAAUUCACUAAAAAUUUUAUAAAUUGAACUAGAGAAUGAACAAAAUAUGGAAUUAAAUCUUAUUGAGUCUAUUUUCUUUAGUAGAAACAGUGUAAGCAAUUAAUUGAUGAAUCAAGAGAUAUUUGAAAUUUUGUAAUACUGGUUCGGGGUGAUUUCGAGAUGCCCUGUUUUAACUUUGGAAAAUCAUUAAAAAUUGUACAAAAAUUAUUAUGGAGUGUAAUUUAUAUAUGUGAACUCCUUAAUGAAUCUAGUUUCAAAAUAAAUAAACAAGAACCUUAUUCGAGUUCUGUACAAUGAGAUAAUUUAUUUUUAGUAGAGAGAGGUCAGAACUGUCAAAUGAAAUAACAGGGGAGUAUUUAAUGAAUAAACUGUACUAAAUGGCUAGACCAAAAAUUCUGAAAAUUUUAUGGUUAGAAGAUAUAUGAGUCUAGUUUUAAGGAAAAUUUACGGAUAUUAAUUUGGAGUUUCGUAGCUCAAGAUAUAAAUAAUUUAGUAACAAUGACUCAAGUAGACAGCUUAAUGGUGAAAUUAUAUAUAUACAUUAAAAAUGGUUAAAUUUGCAUGUUUAGGCUCAUGAAUUAAAUUGAAUCAUGUUGUAUUAAUGAUUAUAAAUUAUUAUUUUUGUAGCCAACAAAGAACCUGAAGCAUCAGCAUCGAAAGGAAAGGAGAAAGUCAUCGAGGACUAAAACGGGAGAAUUAUGGUGUGUAUUACUAUAAUUCGAAUUUUAAUUAUUAUUGAUUGCUGAAUUUUUUUUAUUGUUAUGUAUGGUAAGUAAGACUUGAGGUAAGUAUGUGAAAUUGAUAUGAAUAUUGAGUGAAAAUGAAAGUGAUGCAAAUUGAAUCAAAUUGAAUUGAAUAAGUGAAUUAUGGAAUAUGUAAUUAUUUGAGAAGCGUAUUGAUUGAAAAAUGUUUGGCGAUUUGAAUUGUGAAUUGAAAGUGAUAUAGGAUUGAGAAAGUGAAUUGAAUACCCUAUUAACUAGUCGGGCUAAGUCGGAUAUAGUUGGCAAGCCAUAGGAUUGGAAGUGUUCAGGGAUACUUCGACCUCGAGUCGAUGAGACACUGGGUGUCACUAUAUUUCUUCGGAUAGAUUCGAUGAGGUACCGGGUACCAACUUUACUUCGGCUAGGCCGAUGAGACACUGGGUGUCAACUAUUACUUCGAACUAUCCGAUGAGGCACUGGGUGCCAUAUUGGUGUGUUUGGUUGGAUCCGUGUAUCCGCCAAAGUCCGAGUUACGUUAAUAGGGUGAAAAAUUGAAAUGUGAAUUUGAGGCAUUGAAACGAGAAAAAUAAAUUGAAUUACGAAUUGAAAUUGGAAUUGUGAUAAUAAGAGAAAAGUAUGAAAUGUAUAUUCAUAAGUGAUAUAAAUUUAAGUUUGAGAAAAUACAUUGAUUUAUGAAUUAGUACAUAUGACAUUAAUUGUUAGGUAUUUUGAUAUUUAUGUUUUUACUAUUGUUGAUAUAAUUUGAAUUAUGGUAAUAUCACUGAGUAUAUCCAUACUCAGCGUACGGUUGUUUCCGUGCGCAGAUUAGUAGAAGUCAAGUGUCCCAGUUCAGCAUCCAGAACAUUCCCGACUCCAACACAAAUUUGGUGAUGUAUAUUUUUCUUUUGGGUAAAGGUGGCAUGUACAUAUGUGUUAUAUAGUCACUUGAAUAUGCAUAUUACUUUGGGUAGUGAAGGUUGAAUUAUAAGAUUUAGAUGGUUAAAUGAAAUGGUAAGAAAAGUAUAUGAUAGUUAUUAAGUUGAAAUUAUGUUAAUGAUAUAAAUAUUAGUUAUAUGAAUGUGAAAAAUUGGUGCUGGUUGUUUUAGUUUGAAUUUGCAGGAGGUUUUAGGUAAAAAUAAGCAGAAAUGCUGCCGAAAUUUUUAUAAAAAAAAAGAAAUAAAAAAAAAUUUAAAAUAUUCGAACAAGUCCCGUUCUACUUUUAAUACGUGCUUGAACUUUGAGAGUUCAAGAUAGGGACUCAAUUAUUAUAUUAUACUAUGAAAAUUUUUAAUAAUUGUAAAUUAUUAGUAAGUUGUCUGAUAUGUCCGGUAAUGCCUCAUAACCUCGUUUCGGUAACAGUUUGGGGUUAGGAGGUGUUACACCUAACGUUGUGGUUGCUAAGGAUGGUAGUGGAAAAUAUGAUACCAUCACCAAGGCCUUGGCUGAAGUCCCUCCAAAAAGCCCUAAUCGAUUUAUUAUUCACAUUAAGGCUGGUACUUACAAGGAACAAGUCCUUUUACCCAAGGAGAUGACUAAUGUUAUGUUAAUCGGUGAUGGCCCAACUAAGACCAUCAUCACCAAUGACCUUAACUGCAUUAGGGAUCAUCCGCUUAAAACAUUCGGCACUGCAACAGUUGGUAAGUAGUAUUAUAUACAUAUAAGUUUUGGUGGUGAGGUGAGGUGAUUAACUAGUAUGAAUGUUUGUGAAAUAUUGUAGGUGUGGACGGGGCUGGUUUCAUGGCCAGGGACAUUGGAUUCGAGAAUACAGCAGGACCCCCUGGUCAUCAAGCAGUAGCUUUUAGGGCAACAUGUGAUAUGGUUAUCAUGUUCAAUUGUCAUUUUAAUGGGUACCAAGACACCCUUUAUGCUCACAAACAAAAACAAUUUUAUAGGGAUUGUCUCAUCAGCGGGACGGUGGACUUCAUCUUCGGGGAUGCUGCGAGCAUAUUCCAAAAUUGUCUGAUCAUCGCGAGGAAGCCAGGUGAAAACCAGAACAACAUGAUUACAGCCCACGGAAGGAAAUUUCCAUACACUCACUCAGCCAUUGUGCUUCAAAAUUGUACCAUCUCGGGCGCCCCUGACUACCUUCCGGUGAAGGACAAGAGCAAGACGUACCUUGGUCGUCCCUGGAAAGCUUUGGCGAGGACCAUCAUAAUGCAAAGCAAUAUUGAUGACAUUAUUACACCAGAGGGUUUGUAACACCCCGUACCCGAGACCAUUGCCGGAGUCGGACACGAGGGGUUCACAGACUAAAUUCGCUUACUAUCGCAGUCCAUUUUAAAUUUUUCCAGACAGCUGGCUAACUGUGUCGCUGUCACCUUAAAAAUCAUAUCUUGAGUUUCACAACUCGAAAAUCAGUUUCGUGAUUUUUCCCUGAAACUAGACUCCUAUAUCCAUCUACAUAUUCUUUUCUAGAAUUUUUGGUCGGGCCAAUUAGUACAGUUUAUUAGUUAAAGUCUCCCCUGUUACAGGGUGCGACUACACUGACCUUCAUGCAUUACAAUUCAGAUAUCUCCCUGACAGGGCUUCAAUACUGAUGCCGUUUGUUUCUAUAGAAACUAGACUCAGAGAGGAAUCUAUACAUAUAUGGCAUGACUCCUAAUUAUCUCUGGUUAAUUUAUAAUGAAUUUCCAAAGUCGGAACAGGGAAUCCAGAAACCGUUCUCGCCCUGUCUCACAAAAACCUAAUUAUCUCUUAACAUACCACUCAUUUGACCGUUUCGUUUCUUCCAUAUGAAAGUGGAUUCAUCAAGGUUCAUUUAAAUAAUUGAUUCACUAUUUAAUUCUAUUCCUACUAUUUUUAGUGAUUUUCCAAAUCUACAUCACUGCUGCUGUCAGCAUCUGCCUUUAAGGUAGACUUUACCUAUUUCAUAGUUUCCAUGAUUCAACUAGCCCUUUUAGCAUAAAUAGCACAAAUUAUGAUAGUGAUUAACCAUUCCCAUGGCCAAUCCUUGUUAAGCAUAUCCACACCUCUCAAUAACCAUAUCCAUACCAAAUGAUUAUAACAUUAUGCUCAAACAUAUAUAAGCCAUUUUCGCAUGGCUAUCCAAAAUUAUACAAAUCCAAAGGGUCCAUGACCCACUACAAAAAGGGUAGUCCUAUACAUGCCAUUUUCAGAGUUCAACCAAAAGUGUACCAAAAGGGCUUUGAUAGUGUGGGCGACUUCGACUUCAAUAAUCCCGAGUCCGAUAGCUGACGAACCAAAAUCUAUAAAACAGAGAUUCAAAGAACGGAGUAAGCAUUUAAUGCUUAGUAAGUUUUAAGCAAGACAAAGUGUUCUCAAUCACUAUUAUUGGUCAUUCAUUUCAACUGUUCGAUGAAGUUAAUCUAGAGCUUCAUCUCGAUCUAUAAUAUCAUUAAACGCAACACUUGGCUGCCACAUAUAUACUUUCGAAUAAUAAUGACCUAGAUGGUCAAAUAUUUCUAAAGCACAUUCUCACAUUUGGAGUUAUAAUAUUAAUCACAUUUACCUACCUCUUUGAUACUGAUAAUUCACCUCGAAAUCACUCCACCGAUGAGUAAGUAAUACGUACCUGAACAUCUUGAAUACAUAAUACUUAUUUGAUGGUAACUUAAUGCAGAUACUCAAUAUCAAAGUCUUACUUGAAUCCUAGCAUUUAGCCGUCGGGUCUUUAAAGCUCGGAUAUAGUACGAGCACGAAGCCUACGGACAUUAAUCAGGAUAAUAUUCUCGCAUAAAGCCUGCGGGGUUUUAACCCGGAUAUAGUACUGACACAAUUGCCCUUCGGGACUUAUCACAUUUAUACACUUCCACAUCCAUCACAUUGGCCAUUCGGCCUUAUCACAUAUAUACACUUUCACAUUCAUCACAUUGGCCAUUCGGCCUUAUCUCAUAUAUGCAUGUUCACAUUCAUCACAUUGGCCAUUCGGCCUUAUCACACAUACACAUGUUCACAUUCAUCACAUUGGCCAUUCGGCCUUAUCACACAUACACAUGUUCACAUUCAUCACAUUGGCCAUUCGGCCUUAUCACACAUACACAUGUUCACAUUCAUCACAUUGACCAUUCGGCCUUAUCACGCAUAUAUACUUUCACAUUCAUCACAUUGGCCACUCGGCCCUAUCACAUAUAUAUACUUGUACAUCAAUUUCAUCAUAACAAAAUUGACUAGGUAUACUAGUCAUUUGUGGCUUAUAGCUUCACUUUAAUACGAAUUUGGUACUUUGAUUACCAAUGUUUAAUCGAUAGCUUAUAAGCAACUCAAAUGGUUUUAUUAAGGUUUACAACAAAAUUCCAAAUUCAGCACAAGCUGUUUUUUUUCUGAGCAACAGUCAUUAAAUUAUUCGUAAAUGGAGCUACGAAACUCCAAAUGGAGUGCCGUUAAUUUUCCCUGGAAAUAGACUCAUACAUAUCUUAUCCAGAAAAUUUUCAGAAUUUUUAGUUUGGCCAAUCAAUACCAGAUUUUUCUUAAAGUUUCCCCUGUUUCACUAUUUGACUAAUCUGACCACUCUUCACUACGAAUCAAAUUUCUCAUUGUACGGAAUUAAAAAUGUGUUCUAUUUGAUUUCAUUUGAAACUAGACUCAUUAAGGAGUCUAGGCAUAUAAAUUUUAUCUUAUAACCAUUUUUUUACAAAUUAUAAUGAUUUUUCUAAAAAUAGAACAGGGGAUUUCGGAGUCAUUCUGACACUGUCCCACACAACUUUAAAUAUCUGUUUAUAGGAAAUUUCUUUGCUUCCACGGUCUCUUUUAUAAGAAACUAGACUAAAUAAGCUUUGAUUACAUAUUUUAUUCAGCCUAUAAUUCUACACCAACAAUUUAUAGUGAUUUUCUAAAAUCACGUUACUGCUGCUGUCCAAAGCAAAUUAUUACAAUUUGCUCUUAAAUUUCCAAGUCCAAACACUUAUGAACUUACCAUUUGAGUUUAAGACAUAUUAUGGCCACAUCAUAUCUUAUUAAAUCAACUCAUUAUGUCCUAUUAUGACUGAAUUUACUCAACGUUUAAUCACUUAAAACUUACCUCGGAUGUGGUCGAACGAUUUCGGCGGCUAUUCGAUCACUUUUUUCCUUCCCUUUAUCGGAUUUAGUUCCCCUUUGCUCUUGAGCUUAAUUUAACAAAUAAAUUGAUUUAAUCAUUUGAACAUCGAAAAGAGAAAAUCAAGGUACUUAACCCAUAUAUAUAUACAUUAGACAUUAAAGUCACAUACAUAUGAAAUCAUGAAUCAACUCAACAUAUUAACCCACACUCUCUUUUAGCCGAUUGUCUAAGCCAAGAUUAAGCCACCAAUAUGCUUACUUAUGGCCGAACAUACACAUCAACUUAUGUACUCAUUCAUGUGGCCGAACAUACAUGUCUAUGUUGAGGCCGAUUGCAACACUUAAUACAUUCUACAAGUAUGGUCACUUGUAUUGACUAAACACCAUUUUGUUUCAAGUUCAAAACUUGGCCAAAACACAUAUAUACACUAGUAAAGCAUCCUCUCCCUUUCCAUCAAUUCAACACAUGCAUUACUCAUUAAUAUACAAAAUUAUAUUCGGCCUUAGCACACAACUUGCUAGCCGAUUCUUCUCCAUCUAGCAACUAAUGCACAUAUGUGCUCAUUUGUUAGACUCUACUUCAUCUAACAACAACCAUAUUUUCCCUUCUACUUCCUACCAUGGCCGGAUGCUCAAGAUACCUCAAUAUCGAAACUUUUAGCUUGGAUUGCUUAAAGAACUUGGUGAUGAGUUCAAAUUUACCUAACACCUCAAGCCUCAUAACACAUCUAUAUAGCUAACAUGCUAAUAGUCUCAAGGCUUCAACUAAAACUUUUGAAGCCUCUUAGUCGAAUACUAACUCUCUAAUAAUCCCAAAUCCAUCCAUGAGAUAGUUAGAAUUUAGACUAAUCAUCCAAGGGAUGUAUGAACUUUCAAAGUAACACUAAACAUACCUUAAUCUAGUGAGCCUUCAUAGCCGAUUUUUCUCCAAGCUCAUUCCCUUCCUUUCUUUCUUCUAUUCGGCCAAAGAUGUUCAAGGAUGAACACUUUUUUUUUCUUUGUUUCCUUUCUUCCAUUCACGGCAAAGGGGGGGCAUGGAUGAGACCAUUUUUUUUCAUCACUCCACCUUUUUGCAUUACUUUAAUCCUAACCCAUUUUUUUUAUUCUUUCUAACAUAACUCACUAACACAACAUGUUUGCAACAUGUUUCCACCCAUAGCAUGGCCGGCCACUAUGUUUUAAUUUUGGGUAAUUUGAAAUGCAAACCCAUCAUUUCACAACAUGCAUUAUUAGGCCACUUUACAUUUGCCUAGCACAUUUCCAAAUUUUCUCACAUAAGUCCUAUUUGAUAAAAUUCACUUACUAUUAACAAAAUUCAAACAUGAAAUUUUCACACAUGCAUAUGUACAUAUAAUGAGCAUCAACUAUGACGGUUAAUUAUCUUUAUGACUCGGUUUAGUGGUCCCGAAACCACUUUCCGACUAGGGUCACUUUAGGGGUGUCACAGGGUUACUCCCCCAUGCAAGGCACCGUAGGAAUAGACACUGGUUACUUUGUAGAGUUCCAAAAUAGGGGACCCGGUUCCAAAACUGAAGGCAGGGUCAAAUGGCCAUCUAUCAAGACAAUCGAUAUAAAUGAAGCCAAGAAAUGGACUCCUGGCGUCUUUCUUGAAACUGAAACUGACAAAUGGAUUUCGCAAACUGGCACUCCUUGUUAUCCUGACAUGGUCCCUGGAGUGUGAACUCCCAAAACCAUCGCCAUUAGUAUUCUUUUAUUAUCAUUAUUAGUAAUCAUGUUGUCGAUUAUUGAUUAAGUUAAAAGAUAUUUUAACCUUAAGUAUUUGUUAUUUUAACUUAUUGGUAAUGAUUAUGUUUAAACUUUUAUUCAAGUUAUAAUUCUAUUAUAAAGUUAAUAAAUAAAGUUAUAGUAACCUCCCCAACUUGGCCUAAACAUUAGAUCUGAAUUCAGAAGAUUAUAUUAGCCACCGAAAUGACCUUGUAAGUUAUCAGAAUUUUUGAAAACGGUCAUUUUAAAACAUUUGAUUAUUUUAGAAGAAAACCUAGAUAAUUACCGAUUUAUUUACUAUUCAAAAUUCUUAUUUAUAAUUUAGCAGCAUAAAAGUAAUAAUAGUUUGUAUUUUUAAUAAAAACCAAUGUUCAUGCAUAAUUAAUUAAUAUUCAUAUUUAAAAAUCCUAAAAUCAAAUUAAAUGUCAUGCAGGCUGUAAAAUAAAAACCAAAUCCUAAGUUCUAUAUAACAUGUAACAACCCGUUUUCAAUGAAAUCGAAAUAGUGGUUUCGGGACCAUAAAUCCAAGUCAGAAAGAAAAUUUAUUUUAAUAUUAUUGCAUGGUCUACAUUAUGAUAGGAAAGACGUAUGAAAAUUUUGAUAAGAAAAUUUUAUCGAUUUUAUGUAUAAUUAGGAGGAAAGGACCAAAUUGCAUAAAGUGCAAAAGUUGAAUUCUAGUAGCUAAAAGGAUUAAAUAGUUAUGGAAUUCAAAACUUGGGGUCCUUAUAUAAUAAUUAUACCAUUAAGAGAAGUUAUUAGAUAUUUAUGAUAAAUCAUCCAUGGAAAUUUAAGAAAAGAAAAGGAUUAAAUUGGAAAGUUAAAAAAUUAAAAGAUGAUAAGUUAAUUAAAAGAAUAAAAUAAGUUUAUUUCAUCAUCUUCUCCAAAUUUUCUAUGGAAACCCUAGCUUAGAAAAAGAGAUUCAAGCAAGCUUAAUUAGGUAAGUAAUCAUGUCCCGGUUUUAGUAAUUUUUACAUUUCUGAGAUCGUAAUAACCUAAUCUAUUUAUUUGGGGAUCAAUUUGCAAAGUUAUAAAAGUAUUUAAAAUUUUCCAUGGAUUAUUAUGCUGAAAUUUUGAAAUUUAAGGUAGAAAAUGAAAGGUUGUUGAUAGAUAAAUGAUAAACUGUAAUUUAUACAUAUUUUUACCCCAUGCUUAACGCAUUUUAUGGAUGAUUUUUCCUUAGAAUUAGUGAAUUCGAUGCUCCUAAUGCCUUAAUUUCAUGUUUUAUACUUAGGUGAGCAUAGGAGAGCGAAAGGAACGAGAAACGAGCCAAAAAUGGAGAAAAUGGGCCAAAGUACGAAAUCAACACGGCCUGGACUUCCUCACACAGACAGCCCACGCGGCCGUGUCAAUUUGGCAGAAUCGAAGCACGACUCACAUGGGUAGAACACACGCCCGUGCCAAUCUAACAGGCUCGACACGGCCUGAAGUAAUCGCACACGGGCAUGUCAUAUAGGCGUGUCCCUGCCGAGCCCAAGUUUAGUCCAAUUCGGAAAAUGCCAAUUUUGAGGGUUUUUAGGCAUUCCAAAGCUUAUAAAUACAACCUGGAGGAGGAAGAAAAAGGGGAGGCACAGAGAGGAAGGAAUGAAUUACUUGAAGGAAGCCGAUUGAUCCAUCUCAGAAGCCGAAUUCAUCGUCAAGACUGAAGAUCUCCCUUCAAUUUCCCUUCAGGGUUUUGGGAUUUCUUUAUGUUUUGUAUUCAUUAUUCUUCUGAGAUGUUUUCCUUUUUAGUUAUGAACUAAAUCCCCUAAAUACCUAAGGGGGAUGAAACCUAAGACGAAUCUUGUUAUUAUUUUCUGAAUUGUAUGAUAAAUAUUUAACUUGUUCUUAAUUAUGUGUUCUUAAUUCUUGUUUUGAUAUCCUAGGAUACUGAUUCAAGAUAAGCUCUUAUUCAGAGGAGGAAUAGACCCUGUCUAAGAGUACAUUUGUCAUAAUUAAGCGGAGUUGCUUGCGCGCCUAGAUAUAGGGUGACAAGAUUUUGUCGGAUUAGGGUGAAACCUAAUAAGGGGAUCCAUAGAUCGAGUUAAUGCAACCCUAAGAUGUUAAUUAGAGAAAAGUUUUAAUUAUUCAAUCUAGGGAUUAGACGUUAUUAGUCUUGAAUAGGAAUAAUAACAUAACUUAAGGAUCUCUACGAAACAAGUUAAAUGAAUAAAUCGUCCGAUUCAGAGUCAGAAUAACAAGUGAAGUUUAGGUGGAUUUUUCCUUAGGUAUUGUCUUAAUUCAAUCGUUUUUCCAAUAGUAAUUCCCCAAUUCUAUUUUCUGUGAAUUCUUAAUUUAGAUAAUUAGUUAGUUAAAACAAACCCCCUUAUUUUUAGGCUAGAUAAUAAAAAGACAGUCAUUACUAGUACUUUUAGUUCCUUUGGGUUCGACAAUCCGGUCUUGCUAAAGCUAUACUACUAUUCGAUAAGUACACUUUCCUUCAUCGUGAUAAGAGUUAGUUUCGAGAACGAUUCAUUAUAAAUAUUUAAAACCUGUCGCAAAUAUCGCGUAUCAAUAAACAACUUUUGUAAAGUGAAUUUUGAUGAAAUCGUGAUUUAGGGACUAAAUUGUAAAGAUAUAAAAUUCAAUGAAAUUUUCUAAUUUUUAUGAAAUAUAUCGACUGUUUUUGUUAUAUGAAAAAUUCGACUAGGCUUGGAAUAAGGAUUAAAUUGCAUGAAUUUCAUUUUCCGAGCCUAGGGAUGAAAUUGGAAUUAAUAAAAGUAUAGGUGCAAAAUUGUACUUUUUCCUAAAAUGUGAAUUUGAGUGAAUUGAAUAUGAAUUUCAUUAAAUUGAGUUAAAUUUAUCCGUAUAGAUCUAGAUAGACCUAGUACGAAAUUGGAUCGAGGAAAAUAAAAAGUUUCGGAUUAGCAGAUUCUCAUAUAUGAACAAGUAUCGAGGUAAGUUCAUGUAACUAUCACUAUAGGAAAAUAGGGCUUUAGCGGCGUUUUAUCAAAAAACGCCGAAAAAAUUAUAAAAAACUGAGCAAUAGCGACGUUUUUGCUAAAACGCCGCUAAAGACCAGAGCAUUAGCGGCGCUUUUGGUAAAACGCCGCUAAAGACCAAAGCAUUAGCGACGUUUUUGGUAAAACGCCACUAAAAGUCAUAUAACUCUUAAAAUCCUAAACCCCAAAAAACAUAAAACACCAAUCUAUAACCCUAAAAUAGUAAACCUUUAAACCCUAACAAGCCGUAAACACUAAACUAUAACACCUAAAAUCCUAAACGUCGCAAUAGGUGCAUUUUUAGUGGCGCUAGUUUAAAUUAUAGGUUAAUGUUUGGGGUUUAUGGUCUAGGAUUUAUGAUUUAGGGUUUUGGAUUUAGGGGUUGGGGUUUAGGGGUAAAUAUAGUGAACUACUUAACUUGUGUAUCUUGGAUUUUUUUAUAAUAUAAAUCUAAAUAAGAUAAAUAUAAAUUAUUAUUUUAAAAAUAUAUAUAUCAAAAUGGGUUAAAUCCCAAAAGUAUAAAUUAUGAACACAAUUAUUGAUAUAAUAUCAUUUUAUAUUUAUAUAUUGCAUACAUAAAUAUUUAUAUUUAUUCAAUAUAAAAAUAUAUUGAUGUAUUUAUUUUUUAAAACGUGUAUGAUUAAAUCAAAAUUAAAGUUUUAACUAUACAUUUAAACCACAAUUAAAAUUUUAAGUCUACAAUUACACAUUAAACCGAAAUUCAUAUAUAAUUCUGAAAUGUAUCUCUAUCAAAAUUUAGGUGUAUACAUAUAAUUAAAUAUAAUUUAAAUUAUUUAAGAGAUAAUGAUAAAGUUUAUAUAUAUAAAAACAAAAUAAAAAAUUUUUAACAGAGCAAAAAAGUGAGAAAAUGACUUUUUGUGGCGUUUUUAUUAAAAAUGUCGCAAAAAAAUAAACAAUAGUGGCGUUUUUUAUAAUUUUUUACACAAAACGGUACGGUGUUGUUACCCAAAAUGCAUUAGACUUUUUCGUUCCCCCUUCCCCCCGAGAUCCCAAAAUUUGACAAGAAAUCUUUCUUUCUUCCCUCCUUUCUUUCCCCAAAAUCGGUUCCCUCCCCCCUCCCCAAAGAAAUCCUAAAAUUUCACUUGAAAUUUCUUCUCUUUUCUUUCCCAUUUUAUUUUUCCCAAACCAUUUCUCCCCUACCCCGAUUCCCUUUAUUUUUUCCCCCAAUUUCCCCAAAUUGGUAACUCCAUGAUGUUCUCUCUCUGAUAUGUUUGCUUAUUGGAUGUAUUGCUCGGACUUUAUAUUGUUGUUUGAAAUAUCUUCACUGAAAUUGGUCAAUUGAACCCCUUAUCCAUGCCCGCCGAUCCCAAGCCCUCCUACGCCUUCAGCUCCCUCCGUGAUCGUAGUAGGGACAUUCUCAGCGUCGUCGUCGCUCUCCUCUUCGGCGUCGGCUGUGGCUCUCUCACUGCCGCCGCCAUUUACUUGGUCUAGAUUAUCUUCACGGCCGUUGCGAGUACCAUGAGGAUGAUGAGUCUGACGAAGAAUUUAGCCCUAAAAAAUGGGGUAUGUCAACAUUCCUGCGAAUCCUGCUGUUAACGUUAAGGAAUCCUGCUGUUAACGUUAAAGAUGAUUAAGGUUGAUGGCUGGAAAAGAAAUCAUCUUGUUUAUUACUCAAAAUUGUUGGUAAGGGUGUAUGAUUUAUAGACUUGUAGAUGUAACUAGAGCUCUACCAUCAAUAGAUAGGAAAAGUUACUGGACAAUUAUACAUUAUUGUUUGAUAUAUUUAUUAUUUUACUUAAUAUUUGACUAUCUUUAUAUAUGGACACUAUUUUAGUUGUAUAAGAACUAAGACUUUAUCCUUUAUAUGUAUCAGCAAGCCAUAAAACAUAAAGAUUUAAGUAACCAUAGGAAGUUACUAUGGAAUAGAAGGCUAGGAUGCAAUGCUCUAUAAUUUGAAAUAAUUUCUCUUCAUCUGGCCUCUUAAAUUUUCAUGGAAUCUCUACACCUAGGAUUCUACUCCUCAAUGAUUGUCUUCUAAAGAUCACCAUUAACAGUGAGCAUGUUUAUGUUUCUAAAAGCAAGUUAUUUUGCAUUUGAAGUAUUUGUUUCAAGCUAAUUUAGGGUUGCCAGUGACGUCUUGGUUUAAUGGCAAGGAGGAGGCUAUGGGACUUUGAGAUCCCUAGUUUGAGUCUCACCAUGUGUGGGCUUAGUGUAUUUUGGAGAUGGACAGAUGUAUUUUGGAGAUGGGAGCCAUACAUGCUGGUGACUUCAUGGUGAGUUCCUCUCUUUGCCAUAUGUUUGGGAGCAUUUCCAUGGUUGAAUAUUGAAUUAUUUAUUUUUUCUUACCAUUUAUGGUUGCUGCUGACUUUAUUUUGUUUAAUUAUUAGAGGCGGUUAAGUUGAUUAACUGCUUGAUUGGGAAAGAAUUAGAAAUGUUUGAGUUAUUAUUCGAAUGGUGAACUAAAGAAAAAGAAGCUGAUAGAGCAGUAACUGACAAUUAUGGUUGAGAUUUUGCAAUAAUUGCAUACUUUUUAAAGAUUAUUAUUAUAAUGGUGACUUAUGAAAUGUUGGUAGUGAGAACCAACACCUUUUGGGAAUAUGGAUGUUUAUAAGUAUCUUGCUAUUUAUUUUCUCGAAAUCAUUAGUCAACUUCAUUGAUAGUUCGGGUAUUCCAUGUUCUUGCCAAUUAGGUAGAUCCUUGCAACCAAAUUGUUCAUUCAAUUCGGUUACUUGUCUUUUGCAUGUUUUGGAAAGUUUAAAGACACUGAAAGGAAAAGAAAUAAAAUAAAAUGAUUCUCCUUUACAUUAUUCCAUGACUUCUCACAGAUGUCAUCUUAUUUUCUCCCAUUGUUUAUCUUUACUGCUUUUUUAACUCUUGGAGCUUGAUAAGAUGAAUGUUUUAUUCACUUAAUAUAUACUUGCUAACAAGUUGCAUAAUUUUCGCAGGCAGAGCCCUAUAUCAAUUGCAGCUGCUGUUAUUUAUAUAAUAACAUAGCUUUCGAAUGAUAAGAAGCCACUUAAAGGUUUGAUAUUAUUUCCUUCUUACUUAUUAACUAAAAUUAAGAUGUUUCAUGUACUCCUUUUAGGUGCUGAGGUUUUAUAUCGAAUAACCCAACAUGGUGUCUAAGCAAUGUUUUUGUGUAUUAAAAUUUUAAAAAAAAGAACGGUGACAUCAAAAAAUUUUGAGCUACUGUUAUGUUUCUCUGAAAAAUGAACAAAUGAAUGCGCAGAUAUUUCUGUUGCUACGGGAGUUGCGGAAGGGACAAUCCGAAAUUCAUAAAAGGAUCUUUAUCCCCAUGUGUCCAAGAUAAUACCAAACUGGUAUGCCAAGGAAGAAGAUAUCAAGAACCUAUGCAGUCCUUGAAUUACAGAACAGACAAUAAUGGAGAUACCACAAACAAAACCCUCAAAGUGCUGAGUUCUCUCUCUCGGGAUCUCGUGGAACUCUCGGUACAUUCUGAUAAUGAUGUUCUAUUUUUUUUUUAUGCGUGUUUGAAGUUUUAGCAAAUAUUUUGAGGCUGUAUCAUUGCUGUUUAUCACCUAUAAUUUAUUCCACUAGGAUUCUUUAUAUCUUUCUUACAUUUGGCAGAUUAGUACGCAUAACACCUGGCGUAGGUAGAUUUGUUGCUAGGAGUUACAGUCCAAGGUGAGAAAAAUCUCUCCACAACUAAGGUUCUUUCUACCGUAAAUUAUUGAUAAUUAUUUACUACUGAUUGCUUGCAGACAGUUGGUCAGCGCGUCACCUGGAAUUCCAUUAUUUGAGAUUUUUGUGGUUAAAGAAGAUGAAGAAAUAUAUCUUAUGCAGGUAAAGUAGUAAUGUGCCUUAAUUUAUUAUUAUUUUUUGUUUGGGGCAAGGGGCAUAAAUUGAUUCUAAAUUAUGACAUCUUCAAAAUUUGGUGAAUUCAGAGUAUUUAAUGAUACCAUGAGUCAUGAGUGCAGUUAAAUGCUGUGUGUGGUUUGUUUGCUUUGUGUGGCUUUUUGCUGAUUGAUAUGAGUUGAAAUACUUUGGCACCAUGCCUUAGUGGCAUCAACUAGUACGACCACGUUUGGAGGGAUCUUGAGUCUUAGAUAUGUGGAACCUCUUCGAGAGAGAUUUGGGUUAAUCCACUUUGACUCUGGAAUUCCAUUAGGUUGGUUAAGUAGCUGCUAGGUUAUCGAUCAUAGUUCAUAACUUCCUUUCUGAUCCAAUCAUAGUAUAGAAGGGUCUACAGAUUGAUAAGAUAAACAGAAAAAUGAAGGCCUUGCUAAUUAGAAUCAGUCUUUUUUUUUUGGGUAAAGUAGAAAAUGAACAAAAAGAAAGAAAGAGAGCAUGUUUUCCUUGGCUAGGAAGAUCUUGGUACAACAGUAGCUCAAGGACCUUUCAGUUAUAGUUCAUGGUUAGAUAUACUGUUCAUAAGUGUUUAUCUAAGUACUUAAUUGGGGCUUCCUUUGUGUGUUUUGCUUGUCAUCUUUUUCACGAACACCAUAUCUGAAUUGCUUUUGGAUAAGUGCUUUGCUGCAUGCUGCUUUCUCUGUUUCGCAUCAUGAAACAGUUCUGGGUGUGUUUGUUCAGUAACUGAGCCUUGCUGCAGUAGGAUAAAUUUUUUGGAUUAUAUAAUUUGGUCCAUGGAAUCUUGAAAUUCUGGAUUAAAUAUUUUGGGUGGUAAAUCUGCCUAAACAUGGAUAUUCUUAGACGUGUAAUGUUAUUCCUGUGUAAGUUUGGAACAUGAUAUUUUCAUUUUAUUUAACUGUAAGUUGGUUUCUGGAUGCAUAUACACAUGUUAUGUAUCUAUUUGCAUGUUAGUCUUCGGCAUCUCUUAACCAGUGUGUGAUGUAUAUCUCCUGUAAAGUGAUCUAAAGUCUUCUAAUACAAUCUGUUGCAGGUAGUUUAUUUGCAGCGUGCUAAAGGAAGUUCUAUGAAUAGUACCACCUCACCUUCCAGGCCUACAAAUACCCCAUCCUAUGACCAUGAAAAGCUACUUACCAGAAAAUUUUUGAUUAAUUCAAUCUAUCUAUUGGACGUUUUCAGUAAACCAUUAAGCAUGCUCUAAUGCUCAUACAGACCAAGGCAUGAACCCUGUUAUUGAAUUCUUUCAUUUUCUUCCCUAGGUUGCAUUAUGAGAAGCAAUGCUAUCUGAUAUAUUGUGUUCAAUAUGAACAAUGUAUGUCAAUGUAUUGAAUUUGGUGUAAGGUUUGCCUGAAUAUCUCUACUAUCUCAUUCAUUUGACUUUAUUUAGAACCUCGUAUUGAGUACGUUAAUUCAUACUUUUGAGACUUCUAAUUGAUGGGAAAACUUUAAAAUACAGGUUGCAUGUUACAAAGGUCAGGGAAGAAUAGAAGAAUUUGUUUUCCGUAACCCGCGAUGGGUCGAUGGCGAACUUCUCCAACUUAAUGGCAAGGUAAUAAAAUAUUCAGAACUUUAUGCUAAUAAUAUGAUGUGACUUGCAACUUAAAAUUAUUUUGUUGAGUUUUCAAAACUAUAUGAAUUGAAGGAAAAUCCCUUGUGGAUGGUCAUAUGCAGGGCAUUGGACCCUAUGUCAAAGGAGCUGAUCUAGGUUUCCUUUACAUUGUGCCCGAGCAAAGUUUCCUUGUGCUACACAACCGUUUAAUAUAUAAAUAUAUUUGUAUAAAGUAGUUUAAUUUUUUUACUAAUUUAAAUAUUUUUUUAUUUUUAUAUUUGUAAAAGAACUUAGUUAUAAAAUAAAAAAUUUUAAAUUUAGUUUGGUUCAGAUGAUUAUAGUUUUCUAACUUACAAACAGUGAAUCAAAUUGAAAUCAAUUUAUUUGAAUAAAUUAAAAUUAAAUUGAAAUAAUGAAUUUUAAUUUUUUUUAUAUUUUUCAUGACCUUUAUAAUAUUUUGUAAUAUUUUUUUUUGAAUUUCAUGACUUUUAGCGGCGUUUGUGGGAAAAGCACCGCUAAAGGUCAUGAUCUUUAGCGGCGUUUGUGGAAAAAGCGCCGCUAAAGGUCAUGAUCUUUAGCGGCGUUUGUGGGAAAAGUGCCGCUAAUGGUCAUGAUCUUUAGCGGCGUUUUUUCAAAUAAAUGCCGCAAACUUUAAUGGCGCCGUCUAUAGAGGCGUUUUUUGCGGCGGCGCCGUUAAUAGUUUUAGUGGCGCUUAGAAGCGCCGCUAAAGACCUUAAAAAACGUCGCUAAAAAUCAAUUUUGCUGCAGUGUAUAUUGUGUACAUUUACAUGUCUGAAUUGAAUAUAGUAUAAGUAAAUUGUGAAUUUGUUAUGAAUAUCAAAAUGAUUAUAUAUCCGACAUGUUUGAGAAAUGUUAAGUCCCGUCUGAACAAAUGAAAAUCGAUGGUUGCAAGUUUCUCGAUUGGUUGUGAUGUAGCAUAUGUUGCAGAAACACCAUAGCUUGAAAGACCAUCUCGUUAUAAGCCCUCUUGAGCUUCCCGUUAUAUGGUUCUUGCGAACUUCACGUUAUGGUUCUUCGGAGUGUCUCGAUAGGUUGUGAUCCUACAUGUGUUGUAGAAACACCUUAGCUUUUAUGAGCUUCUUGAUAUGGGCUUUUCGUGAGCUUCUUGUUAAAUUAGCUCUUUAUGAGCUUCCCGAUAGUGCUCGCUUGAACUUCCCAGUAUAUGGUUAUCUGGAGCUUUCCGAUAGGCUCUUCGUGAGCUUCCCGAUUAAAAGUUCUUUGUGAACUUCCUAAGUAUGGUUCUUAUGAGCUUCCUGUUAUAGCCUGGAUAAGCUUCCCGUUACAUGGCUCACAUGAGUUUCUUGUUAUACGGCUCGAGAGAGUGCUUCCUGUUUAGGUGUUCUCAUGAACACUUCUUAAUGUCAAUUGACGGAUUAUAGAUUCGUACACUUCAUGUGUACUAUCGGAUAUCCAUCGAUAUUUCAUAAGGUUCAACGGUCAAAAUUUCGAUAGAAGUUGAGAUAAUGUCUGAAAUAAAUAAUAAUAUUAACUGCUUGAAAUUACAUAGAAUUGUUUACAUGAUGAGCUCAUCUUUGUUAUUUGAAAAUACUUGGAAAUCAUGACUAACUUGCUUGAUGAGUAUAUGUGUUUAAGCAAAUGGCCAAUUUGCUUUGGAUACAUGUUGUUUGUAUGUUUACUUUAAAUGAACCUGAGUGGUAAGUUAAAUUCCCGUUAUGCGAACUUACUAAGCAUUAAAUGCUUACUUGGUUUUCUUUUCUCUGUUUUAUAGUGCUCGGAAGCUCAUAAAGGUUGGAAAUUGGUCGGAGCAUCAUCACACUAUCCUUCAGAUUGUUUUGGUAUAAAUAACAAACUUUUUUUUGAUAUAAUGGCAUGUAUAGACUAAGUUGGCUAUGUAAAUGGUUGUUUGUAUCUAGCUAUUGGAAUGGCUAGUGAUGACAUAUUUGAUGUAUAUGUAAGAGGAUAUAUCAUGUUUAAUAUAUGCAUAUUUAGUAAGGUUGAAUUGAAUUCUGAUAAAUUUACAUGAUUACACAAUUAGGUAAGUUGGAAUACAUGAACAUAUGUGAUGAAAUGUCAUACAUAAUACUUGUAUUUGACUUGAUUUAAAUGUAUUGAAUUGGUUGGUGAAUAUACUUAAAUAUUGUUGUAGGUGGAAAGCAAAAUGGGUGAGAAAUAUGGCCUAUUUUCGUCCACACGGGCAAAGACAUGGGCAUGUGUCUCAGCCGUGUGCGACACGGCCUUGCACACGGGCAUGUGGUUGGGCGUGUGACACAUGUCAGAGAGUUACACGGGUAUGAACACGUGUUAGGAUAUGGCCGUGUGCCUUACAUCGAAUGCCCACACGGCUUGGAACAUAGGCAUGUCACUCACACGGCCUACCUACACAGGCGUGGGUCCCCUACAUUUAAGAAAAAUUUUGAAAAUUUUAGUUAAAUUUUCUGAGUUCUCGAUUUAGUCUCGACUUGUUUCUAAUACAUAUAUUGGGCCUCGAGGGUCCAUUUAAGGGAAAAUAUGAUUGAAUAUGUUUGGUUUCGAUUAUGAAUAGUAAAUGAAAUGAUUUAACCGUAAUUAUUCUAUAAACUACGGUAAUGCUUUGUAACUUUGUUUCGGUGUCAGAUAUGGGUUAAAUGUGUUACAUAACAGUUCAAAAUAAAAUAUUAUAUUCAUUGAAUAAUUAAAUAAAUAAAAUAAUGAGCCUAAAAUAAUUUUAUAAUUAAAAACGAGCCGAGACUCUAGAUGCCAUGUUCGUGUCCUAACCUGGUGAGUUAUCUGUAAGUAUGAAAAUUUAAGGGGGAGUGAGCUAUAACACUCAGUGGGAGUUCCAUCACAAGAAAAUCAGUGCAAAUUAAUAAACUAAGCAUACAUAAUAACAAUUUUUAGUACGAUAAUAAUCAUAUGAUAUAACGAUAUUUUUGGCAGUUCAACAACCAUACUUAUAUGUGUCGAUGCAAUGCUAUACAAGUUAAGUUUAUCAGUAAAGAUAGGUCCUACCCCACCGCUACACUCCACAGUAAGAGUUUCCCAGAAAUCUUAUAUCUCGGACACUCUAAUUUGUGGAUGAACCACAAGUGUUCCAGGUUAAUAUGCUACCAAUAGUUGUGAAUACACAAUGGGUUUGCAGAUAGAAGUUGCUAGUAAAAGAUGUGGAUAAACCACUAGUAUUUGCAGGUUAAUACGCUGCCAAUGGUUGUGAAUACACGGGUUUGCAGAUAAAAACUACCACUAAUUUGUGGAUAAACCACCAGUGUUUUGUAGUUAAAAUUGCCAGUAUUUCCUCUUUAAAAAGAAUCCUACCCUAUGCAAUAUAGUAUGACAUGUAAGUAUCAAUACAGUACAGAAACAAUAGACAUGUUUGUCCUGGAUUUGGUAUGUCAAUAUAGUAAGCAUGCUAUUCACGCAAUUAGUAAUUUUGCGAUACUAGUAAAAAUAACAAUUAAUCAGUAAUUUAGUCAUAGAAGACAUGUAUUCAUCACAUAUCAUGCACAUAUAGUAAUAAUCUAAUAAAUCAAACAAUUUAUUCCACGUUAUUCAUAAUAUCAGAGACUUAAUUAAAAGAAAUAAAGCACUAAAAACAAUUCAAUGAUCAUGCAUGGAUUAAAUUGAACAAUUUACAAAAAUUUUGGGAAAAAUUGUAAAAUGGGGGCACAUGGCCGUGUGGAGGGGUUACACGGUGGUAUGGUUAGGCCGUGUAAUAGAUUGUGGCUGUGUGGAAUUUACAAAAUCAAGGUACAGGGGAGACACAAUUAUGUGGCAGGCCGUGUGAGAAUUGAAUAUCCUAAGGUUUCAGGGGGACAUGGUCGUGUGAGGGGUCGUAUGGUCCACAUGUGUAUCCCACAUGCCCGUGUGGUUGGCCAUAUGACCUUAUUUCGAGGUAUGAUUUAUCCCAAUUCGCUUGUAAAAUAACACACAUUCCACCGGGAUCUCGAAUGACAUCCCUCACAAUCAAAUUUGGUCUGAUGCACCUGUAACGGGUCCUUCAAACAACAUUUAUACACGGGUUAAUGUUUAUUUUCAAAAUCUAUCAAGAUUACCAGGAAUUUCAGCAAGAUUCGUAGAAUAUUCAUCAAUUAAAAUGAAAGAUUAGCAUCAGAUGCAAAAACUACGAGAAUUUGGGAUUAGUUAUCAGAAUUUAAUUGAACUUGCCAACAAUUCUUAGCAAGGAUUAAGAACAUUCCUAAUGGCGACUAUAAAACCGAUUAAAAAAUGUCUUAAAUCGAGAAUAGAUUUUGAUCCGGGAAGAAAUAAUAAAUUCAGCAAUGGAGAGAAAAUAUCUUGCAAAGAAGAAGCUAAGAAAGAAAAGAGAGAAGAAGUAGGGAAAAAGAAAUAAAAAUUUUCUGUUUGGUUUGGAAAAGGAAACAAGUGUUCAAAUGCAAUUAGGAAAAUGAUUAAAUAUUUAGGGGUUUCAAACUUUUAGGGGGUUGGAUAGCAAUUUAUCCCUGCUUCCGAAAAUAAAAGGAUAAUGAAGGAGAGUGAUUAGGCUUGAUCUUGAGCAUGCAAGGGAAAAGUGUAAAGACUUAAUCAUUGACUUGUUGCCCAUAAUUUGUUAAGUUUUUACUCUAAAUUAUAUAUGUUUUAAUGUGGUUUUCAUCCUAAGUUGCUAAAAAUAAAAGGAAAAAAAAUGAGAGAAGAGUGAAUAGAACCUAAGACCUUUAAAAAGUACACUAAUUACUUAACCAUGAAGCCUAGGUUAAUUUUUGAUUAAUUAUUUCAAUUAAUCUUCUAUAUUUCAAGGCGUGACAGUUAUAACUAAGAAUUAUAAUUAAUUUAUAAAUAUUUUUAAAUAUCAAUUUAAUAAUAUGUUAGAAAAAAAUAUUCUUAUCAGUUCAAAAUUUUUUCAACUCAUAUAUAUAUUAUAGAUGAUUAGAUAUCAAAUUUAAUUAUAAAAACUUAAAAAGUCCAACCCGCUGGCAUACAUGUAAAUUACCAUCAACCUAACGCUUCGUUUGUUUGCCAGUAAAAUAUUUUCCGGAAAAUGAUUUCUGGAAAAUGAUUUACUUUUCUGGAAAUGAUUUAAUUUUCUGGAAAUGAUUUACUUUUCUGGUGUUUGAAUGAAUCUGUGUAAAAUAUUUUCUAUUGUUUGGUAGAUUUCCUAAAAAUAUUUUCCGGAAAAGCUAUUUUUAUAUAUAUUAAUAAAUUUAUAUUUUAAAUUAUUUUUACAUAUAUUGCAAUGAUCAAAUUAAAUAUAUAAUAAUACUCAAUUAUUGCAUUGUUCAUUCUUCAUUCGGAUUUAUUGCAUUGUUGCUCUAGAUUUAGAUAGAGCUUCAUACUUCAUCCGGAUAAAUUGCUCAAAAACUCCAACAAAUGUAACUUUAUAAAGAGGAACAAAAAAUCAGAAAGAAAACCAUUUGUUUGACUAUAUAGAGCUAAUAAUUUAUGCAUGAACUCGAAUGUUGGAUCACAUAAACAACAUUUUGCAAGAGAACAGAAAAGAUACAUGACAAAUGCACUUAAAUGGGGGCAUGCAUACCCAUGUUACGCCAGUGCAUGAAAACUUACCUAAACAAUACCUAGAACAUCAAUAAGCCUGCACCUUGCAGAGGAAACAACAAAGCAAAGAAAGAUUAUAGCACUAUAAUGGAAUUUUCUCCACCAAUGAAGAUGGCUAUUUCAAGCAAACAAAUGGCUCUGAGUUUUAAUUGAUUUGUGCAUUCAUGAAGCUAAAAAGAAGAGCACAUAUGAAUUUCUUGAUGGACAUUUUAUAACUUUCAAUAAUUAGGUGAUCAAAAAGAUAAUUUACUAAUAAUUGAGUGAUAUUUUUUAACUUUGCAUAGUUAAGUUACCAAAAGGGAAAAAACCAUAGUUAAGUGGCCUCUACUAUAAUUUACCCAAAGAUAUAUAAAUACACUUGCAACAAUAUUUCUUAUUUCAAUUUUUGAAAAAUUUAAACUUUUAAUUAAAUUAAUAUUCGAUUAAAGUAACAUUUUUAACUUAAAAAUGUUCUAAUUUUUACCAGCAAUCUUGGCUGUUCUUUCCUAAAAGAAAAAAAAAAGAACAGAAACCUAAGCAAAAAAAUAAGUUACACGUAGUGUUGUUGUAAGUCAAAUUUUACAGGCUAUUCUCUGCCAUUUAUCAUCCACCCCCCAUUAUAAGUAUACAAGCUGUGUACAUUAAUGCAUAGAAGUUAAAACCUCCAAAACAUUAAGUUAUUGUCUCUGCCACAUUAUUACAAGUAUUUGCAUGUCUAGAGCAUAAACUACGGCUGAAAGCUAAUGGUUCUUAGAGCUGUAAGACUGAUUUAAUGAUGAAUAUACACUUCACUGACAAUGGGUUGAGCAUAAAUUCAAUCGCAGAUAAAUUUUAGCUACUUCUUUCAGUAAUCGACUCCUCUCUAGUUUCACUUUAACAUCCAUUUAGAUCCUGCCAUUUGAGGUGAAAAAGCUGGUGGUGUGCCCAGCAAUGUCGAACUUCCCGGGCAUUCACCGUUUAGGUAUCCUUGUCACAUAGGCCAAAGCUCUAAUGCCAUAAAAAAGCCCCAUCAAAACCUCAUACCCAGUUGUGUGAAGUGCCUCAGGCUGGUGCCAGAACAAGAUGAGCUUGUGAAGAAUGGGUGCUAUUCCUGACAUGCCCAUGCCAAAGAAGAGGGAUGCACGAAUGCUGCGAAACUCUGGAUUCUAAAACCCUGGCAAUAAGGAAACUAAGAUCGUUGCGACUCCCAAGAUGGUUAUGAAUCCCAAAUAGAGGUUGCAAAAGAAUGGAUCACACAUGAAGGAGUAAUACACUGGAGGAUAGAAGGAAGUAGAAAUGAGAGCCGCGAUCCCAGCAUAGUCUAGCCUGAGCAUGAUAUAUAAUAGGCGCUCAGAGUGGCAAGAGAGAAGGUGGCAUGUGAUGCUAGCCAGCAAGCAGAACAUUGCACCACCCAAGAAGGCAAAGAAAGGCCACCGUGUUAUCGGCCUCACCAUCAGGGGUGCUAUUAUGUUUGCCAAAUCCUCCUUCACGCUUUGUUGCAAUUAGAAAGAAUAAAAUGUAUUAGCUGCAUGAAACUCCCACAUGCAUAGUGUAACCAUUGGUAUUAAAAGAACAGAUAUCACUACGUCAUAGAAAACCACCGUAAUAAGACAAAGAAACAAAAUACAAAGAAGAAAUCAAAGAAUUAGAAAAAAAAAUCUGUUGUGCGGAAGCGUGUAAAAGAGUAAAAUUAUUGUACUAAAAAAUCACACUAAGUUCAAUUCCCAGGAAAGAGAGGUGGAUCACAAGGAUCGCUUAAGUACCAGGUCUUUCCUAGCCAGAAUAUCCCUCAAUCGUAAUUUAAUAGCAUAAUAAAUCACUACAAUCACACACACAAUUCAUGUAGAAUAAUACAAUAAAGAAUACAAGAAUUUAACGAGGUUCAGCAAAUUUUGCCUACAUCCUCGGGCACUACCAAAUAUAUUUCACUCCAAAAUACAAGUGAGAAUUUACAAAGAGAGAGAGAGAAAACAAUGCCUUAAGUAGAGAAUGGCAAGUUUGAGAUGCAGAAUGAGAGAUGGUUAUGCCUAUUUAUAGUUGAGGUUCAGGGAUCAACUUGCAAAGUCACUUUACAAUUAGGGACCAUAUAUUGCAAAUAUCUCAGAUUUUAUUAUGCCAAUAUCUCGAUACCCAUAUAUUUGACUUUCCAAUAUUUGAUACCCAUAUCUUUGACUUUCCAAUAUUUGAUACCCAUAUCUUUGACUUUCCAUUAUUUGAUACCCAUAUAUUUGAUUUUCCAUAAAUAUGGAUAAUUCCCAAUAAUCUCCACCUUGAAGAUUUGAUUCGAGUAAUCUUAUCAUCACACAAUUCUCUCUGCCUUUGUCAACAACACUUGAUAGUGCCUUCUUCAACUGUUAAACAUGCAGAAUAUUGAUCAAGUUCAAACAAUGUUCGAACUUGAUUGUUGUUACCACCUUGGUCAUCAUAUCUGCGGGAUUAUCUGCAGUCUUAAUCUUCUGAAGGUGAAUUUUCCCCUCAUCAAUAAUUUUCCGCACAAAGUGGAAACGUACAUCGAUAUGCUUUGUACGUGCAUGAUAGACUUGAUUCUUUGCUAAAUGAAUAGCACUUUGACUAUCACAAUACACAUUAAUAUGCUCCUGGACCAAUCCCAAGGUUUUAACCAUACCUUGUAACCAAAUAGCUUCCUUUACAGCCUCUGUUACAGCCAUGUAUUCAGCUUCUGUGGUUGACAACGCAACUGUAGACUGCAGUGUAGACUUCCAACUUAUUGGUCCUCCAGCAAGAGUAAACACAUAACCAGUGGUUGAUAUUCGUUUGUCCAAAUCACCGGCAUAAUCAGAAUCAACGUACCCAACAAGACCUUUACCAAGUGUAGUAUCCUGCUUGAACAGUAAUCCAAUAUCCAUGGUCUUAUGAAUAUACCGUAGAAUCCAUUUCACAGCUUGCCAAUGUCCUUUUCUAGGAUUAUGCAUAUACCUGCUCACUAUACUAACUGCCUGUGAAAUGUCGGGUCUUGUACACACCAUUGCAUAUAUCAAGCUACCCACUGCAUUAGAAUACGGAACUUGCAACAUGUAUUCUCGUUCCGUAUUCGUCGAAGGAGAUAGUUGUGCAGAAAGCUUGAAAUGAGAAGCCAACGGGGUACUUACAGGUUUUGUCUGCUCGUUCAUGCCAAACUGCUGUAGUACCUUUUUCAAAUACUGCUUCUGAGACAAGCUAACUCUAUCAUGAGCUCUAUCUCUCCAUAUUUCCAUGCCGAGAAUCUUUUUAGCUUCUCCUAGAUCUUUCAUCUCAAACUCGAGAUUGAGUUGAGUGUUCAAUCUUUCAAUCUCAACUUUGCUCUUAGAUGCUAUUAGCAUAUCAUCAACAUAUAAGAGCAAGUAUAUGAAAGUUCCUUCUUGUAGCUUCUGAAAAUACACGCAAUGAUCAAAUUUACUUCUUGUGUACCUUUGCCCUUUCAUGAACUGAUCAAAUCGCUUGUACCACUGCCUCGGAGAUUGCUUCAAUCCAUAAAGUGACUUUGUCAGUUUGCAAACCCAAUUUUCUUUUCCAGCAACCUUGAAUCCAUCUGGCUGAGUCAUAUAGAUUUCUUCUUCCAAAUCACCGUGUAAAAACGCGGUCUUCACAUCAAGCUAAACUAGUUCAAGAUCAUAUUGCGCAACCAAGGCUAGCAAAAUCCGAAUAGACGAAUGCUUCACAACUGGAGAAAACACUUCAUUGUAGUCUAUUCCUUCUUUCUGAGCGUAACCCUUUGCUACUAAUCUAGCCUUGUAUCGAAUUUCAUUUUUAUCAGGAAAUCUUUCCUUCCCUGGGGUAGUGUCACCAACUCCCAAGUCCUAUUUUUAUGAAGAGACUGCAUUUCUUCAUUCAUAGCUUGCUUCCACUUUACACUAUCAGAGUUACUUCUUGCUUCUGUGUAAGUAGAAGGAACAUCAUCAUCUGCAAUUGGAAGUGCAUAGGCCACCAUAUCAUCAAAGCGAGCAGGCAUACGAAUCUCUCUUCUUGGCCUUCUAUAUGCAAUUGAAUCAUGUUGUUGUAGAAGUUCUUGGGUCGAAACUUCUUCAUCAUUUGUUCCUUCAAUAUUAGCUGGAUCAUCAUUAACCUUUUCAAGCUCCACCUGCUGCAAAGUGCCACUGGUUGUGUUAUCCUUUUGUGAAUCAUUGUUCUUCAUCAUGGUUGAUUCAUCAAAAGUCACAUCUCUACUGAAAAUUAUUUUUCUUGUAUCAGGACACCAGAGACGGUAUCCUUUUACCCCAUCAGUUAUACCCAAGAAUAAUACUUUCUUUGCUCUUGGGUCUAACUUAGAUUCUUUUACAUGAUAAUAUGCAGUGGAACCAAAUACAUGCAAAGAAUCAUAAUCAGUAGCAGAUUUACCAGUCCACAUCUCCAUAGGAGUUUUUCCAUUUAUUGCAGCUGAUGGCAAACGGUUAAUUAGAUGGCACGCAUAUGUAACUGCCUCAGCCCAAAAUUCUUUGCCAAUCCAGCAUUGGACAACAUACAUCAAACUUUCUCCAGUAUAGUUCGAUUCAUUCGUUCUGCCACCCCAUUUUGCUGUGGUGUAUCCCGAACAGUGAAGUGUCGCACAAUGCCCUCAUCUUGGCAUACUUGUAGAAAUGGAUCGUUUUUAUACUCAGUACCAUUAUCUGAUCGAAGUCGUUUGACCUUUCGACCAGUCUGAGUCUCCACCAUCUUCUUCCAUUUCAGAAAUGCAUCCAAAACUUCACUUUUUCUUUUCAUUAGAUACACCCAUACUUUUCUUGAAUAAUCAUCAACAAAAGUAACAAAAUAGUGCAUACCUCCCAAAGAAGCUACUUUGGUAGGUCCCCACACAUCACUGUGAACGUAGUCCAGAAUUCCUUUCGUAUUGUGAAUUGCUGGACCAAAUUUUACCCUCUUCUACUUGCCCAGAACACAAUGUUCACAGAAUUCCAUUUUGCAAGAAUUUGCACCUUUCAAUAAGCCUUGCUUCACCAAUGUCUGCAAAGCUUUUUCACCAGCAUGUCCCAAUCGCAUAUGCCAUAAUCUGGUAGCCUCUGAAUCUACAUCUUUUGUAGAAACUGUUGAUGUUGAUCCAAUAACUGUACUUCCAUUUAAAAAAUACAAGUUAUUUCUUCUUGUGCCUUUCAUCACCGUCAGUUGCCCAGCUACUACUUUUAGUAAUCCAUCUCUCAAAGUGAUUGUGAGCCCUUUAGAUUCUAGGGCACCUAAUGAGAUGAGAUUUUUCUUCAGGCUAGGUACGUAGCGAACAUCUGUCAAGACUUGGAUUGAGCUGUCGUGAUUCUUCAAUUGGACUGUACCCACUCCCAUUGUCUUACAAGCACUAUCAUUUCCCAUAAGAACAAUUCCACCUUCUAGCUCUUUAAGACUAGAAAACCAGUCCUUAUUAGGACACAUAUGGUAAGUACAUCCUGAAUCCAAAAUCCACUCAUCCGUUUGACAUGCCAUUGCCAUGCCAACCAAGCUAAAGUCUGACUCCUCAUCAUGCUCCGCUACACAUGCAUUAGAAAUAGCCUUGCCCUUUUGUAGCUUAGGACAAUUCUUUUUCCAAUGCCCUUUUUCACGGCAAAAGGCACAUUCAUCUUUGGCGGGUCUCCCUUUGGACUUUCCCCUUCUACCAGAUUUGCUGCUGUGUGAACGACCUCUUACUGUUAAGACUUCUGCGGUUGUAUCUCUGUGAUCUCUUUUAUCUUUCUUUCGAGUCUCAGAUCUAUACAACGUACUACAGACUGCAUCAAAUGUGAUCGUGUCCUUCCCAUGAAGCAAUGUGGUGGUAAGAUGAUCAUAUUCAUCAGGAAGGGAAUUCAACAACAAUAAUGCCUUGUCUUCAUCUUCAAAUUUCUCAUCCAAAUUUAGCAAGUCUGCUAAAAUUUUAUUGAAUGAGUUCACAUGGCCAUUCAUCGACAUACCGAGUGCAUACGUGAAUCGAUAAAGUUUCUUUUUCAUAUAAAGCCUAUUUUCAAGACUUUUUGUUAGAAACUUUUCUUCCAGUGUAUCCCACAACUUCUUCGCUGAUGUCUCCCUCAUGACAGAGUACUUCUGCUCUUUGGCCAAACAUAGGCGAAUUGUUCCACAUGCCUGUCUAUUGAUCUUGGCCCACUCCUUGUCAUCUAUCUUGUCAGGUUUUUCUUCAAGGGCUAUAUCCAACUCUUGCUGACAUAAGACAUUCAGGAUCUCACAUUGCCACAUACCAAAAUUAUUGGUACCAUCAAAUUUCUCUACUUCAAAUUUCGCAUUGGUCACAGUAGUCUUUGACGAUGACUUUUCCAUUUUUUCUCCUCAAUCCCAACUACAGUACGUGAACAAUGCCGUGAACGAUUGUAUUCCCCAAGUACGAAUCUAGCUUUGAUACCAAUUAUUGUGCAGAAGUGUGUAAAAGAGUAAAAUUAUUGUACUAAAAAAUCACACUAAGUUCAAUUCCCAGGAAAGAGAGGUGGAUCACAAGGAUCGCUUAAGUACCAGGUCUUUCCUAGCCAGAAUAUCCCUCAAUCGUAAUUUAAUAGCACAAUAAAUCACUACAAUCACACACACAAUUCAUGCAGAAUAAUACAAUAAAGAACACAAGAAUUUAACGAGGUUCAGCAAAUUUUGCCUACGUCCUCGGGCACUACCAAAUAUAUUUCACUCCAAAAUACAAGUGAGAAUUUACAAAGAGAGAGAGAGAAAACAAUGCCUUAAGUAGAGAAUGGCAAGUUUGAGAUGCAGAAUGAGAGAUGGUUAUGCCUAUUUAUAGUUGAGGUUCAGGGAUCAACUUGCAAAGUCACUUUACAAUUAGGGACCAUAUAUUGCAAAUAUCUCAGAUUUUAUUAUGCCAAUAUCUCGAUACCCAUAUCUUUGACUUUCCAAUAUUUGAGACCCAUAUCUUUGACUUUCCAAUAUUUGAUACCCAUAUCUUUGACUUUCCAUUAUUUGAUACCCAUAUCUUUGAUUUUCCAUAAAUAUGGAUAAUUCCCAAUAAAAUCUGAUUGAUUCUUUUCAUUCACAAAAAACUACUUUUCUGAUAGAGCCUUCUUAACUGCUCAUACCAGUUUUACAACCUCUUUAACCCUGCAACUAACAGUAACUAACAACAUUACUGCUAUCACCACUUAACUUUCCAAAAUUAUUAAGGAUAACAAUUUCCAGGGAGACAAGAUAAGACAUGAAAUGUUCAUGCAUACACAUUUAUCUUAAAAUUGUAUCCACUAUGGAUCCAUAAGGUUAAAACUGGCAGCUGCAAAAAAUGUUACAGGAUUCAAGCAUCGCUACCCUCUCAUUUUUCAGACUCUGAAGUGCACUUCCAGUAAGAUCCUAUUAACAUGAAUAUACUAAAAUAAACUUUUGAACUAUCACAAUCGUGGCAGUUGAUUUCCCAUUGCAAGGACGCUAGCAAAAUAAACUACAUACUUCGUAUUUAGACCUGCUCAUGGGUCGGGUUACUCGGCCCGGCCCGAAGGCCCUCCCGAAAUGUGAGAGGGUUUGGGCAAAAAUAAAGGCCCGAAAAAUGGGCUUGGACAAAAAAAUAAAGCCCAUUUAAAAAACGGGUCAGGCUUCGGGUAAGGUAUUUUUUGCCUGAGCCCGGCCCGGCUUGGCCCGAAUUCACUAAAUGACAAAAAAAAUCUGCUAUUUCUUGUUUUUUAAUGUUAUUUUCUUAUUAAUUUUGUUAUUAUUUUAAAGGCAUUUGUUAAUUUUGUUAUUAUUUUAGAUGUAUUUGCUUGUUAAGUUGCAUCUAUCUUAGUGCUAUUUAAGUCUACAUAUUUUUUAAAAUUUAUUUUCAAUUUGUUGGAAAAUAUUUAUUUUGAUUUUUUAGUAUUUUUGAUGUAUUAUAUAUAUUUAAAAAUUAUAUAAAAUAAUAUAAAAAAUAAUAUGGGCGGGUCGGGUCGGGCUCGGGUUUUAGCAUUUUUAUUUGGGCGGGGUUGGGAAAAAAUUGUAGGCCUAUUUUUUAGGCCCGGCUCGGCCCGAGCCUAAUGAAUGGGCCUAAAUUUUUAGUUGAGCCCAACCUAAACCCGGCCCGACCCGACCCAUGAGCACCUCUAUUCGUAUUUAAAGUUCCACAUAUUGUGUUCAAAACAUUGUAAGUUAAGGGGAAAAAAAUCUACAAGACAGACAUAUACCAUAUAGGAUGUUAUAUGCUUAAAAAAGAUUUCCCUGGAUAACAAUACUAAGCUUUCCAUGGUUUUUGCUUAUAAGAGAAGCAUUUAUUGAACCAUGUCAACACGGUAGAUAUCAACUUUAUAACUUAGCACCUAUGGCUAUAAUCAUAUGCCUUUAAUUGUUUAUAAAGAUUCUUGAGUAAAAAUUUUUAGCAGGAAGUAUACUAACAGAAAGGCCUAUUUGAUGCCCACAGGUCUUUCAGUUCUUCACAUUUAUUGACCCAUAAUACUAAAACUUUAUGGAUAGGUCUUAGGAUUAUAAUUCCUUUCACUGACAACAAUAGGACAGAGGAAAAGAAGUCUUUAUGGAUUCUCUGCCUCAGAAACAAGAUUCAGUGUUGUCAGGGCAUGCGCCUAGGCACACCUGAGCUGUGCGCCUUAACACUAGACAACAGAAGUGCCUCAAACCCUUUCAGGUAAUACCCAUUUAACCAGGCACACACCUUUUUUGCAAGGCAAUAGGAAUAAAAAGCAUCCGCCUCAUAUAAGUUCUCUUUAAUUUAAUUUAAUUUUCACUUUUUUCAUUAGAUAUACCUUUACCAAUAAGAAAGGGUUAGUAUUAAACUCUAUCCUUAUCAAAAUUCGUGUAUUAAACAAUAGACAUGAACCAUAAGUAAAUCAUGUAUAUUGACCAAUAAUAGAAUUGCAUGUUUUGUAGAUAUAGAUCACACUUUAGAGUUUAUUAUAUAUCUUAUGCUAUAUAUAUAGACAUAGAAAAAUGCACAGAUAUACAUAUUGCACUUCAUUUCACUCAAGCUACUACUUUUUUUUUUACACCUUGCACCUGAGGCUACAAGAGUAGCCCCUUCCCCGGUAAGGCAGCAACCCAACUAUUUCUUUCUUGCCUGGAGGCUUUUCUUAUUCUAAAAUUUAUGAUAUUCACUAACCUAUAAAAUCCAGAGUCCUUUAUUACAGAAUAAUUUAAGGCUUUCUUAAUUUCUAUAAUUCACCACCAGAAAUCUAAUUAAUGGGAUAUCAGAAACCCAAAACCUUUCUCUAUUGCUCACAGAGACUUAAACAUGUAUUUCACUAAAUUUGGCUCAAACAUAAACCCAACAUAAAAAUCUAAAAUUAUAUUGCAGCGAAAGAAGCUAUAAUUGACAUACUUGCAUAUUAUCUUUAUAGUGUUCAAGUAUCAAAAUUGAUAUGAAGUACAGGAAACUUCAAAGAAGAUAGAGGCAACCAUUUCCUAACAUUGAUGAAAAAACCACACCAAAACCUUGAAUCGACAGAAUUUACCCAAACCCAGAAAAAGAGCUUUAAAAAGAACAAGAAGAAAAUGUGGACAAGUAAAGAACAAGAAAAAAAAAGCUUUAAAAAACGAUGCCAUUCCUUAAGUCAAGACCUUGCGAAGAGGAAUGAGAUUUGCCUCAGAAAGAGAGAAAGAGAGGAAUGAAAUUUGCAGAAAGAGAGAAAGAGAGAAAGAAGAUGAAGAACGGAAAGAAGGGAGAAGGACUUUUACCAGGAUGAAGAAGAAGAUGGAAAAUGUCUUACAGAAAAAAAAUCCUUAAGGCAUUUUCCCUAAAAUGAAUGAGAUUUUACCCGUGUCUUGGAAAAUAAUUUCCAAAACAGAGCCUAAAUGAAACUUUAGUUACCAAAUCAUACCAGUUAAAAAAUUAGAGUAAAUUAUAUUAUUAAUUACUUAAUUAUAGUACAAUUAUUUUCUAGUUACUCAAUUAUGAAAAGUUACAAAAUAAUCAUCUAAUUAUUCAUUUUUUUAUUUUUUGUCACCGGCUGGCUAACGUGUAAAAAGAAAAACCCAAAAAUCAAAUAUAGUUGAGUAGCCAAAGAAAAAAAUUACUAAUAAUUAGGUGACUAGUACUAUAGUUUACCCUAAAAUUUAAAGGUAAAACUUUUCAAAUGAAUGCAUUUUAUAAUAAUUAAUAAAAUAAGAGUUAUAUUAAGUACUGAAAAGUUACUCAACUAUCUUAGAUUUUUGUUAUUUUUAUUUUAUUUUUUACUCUAGUUAUUAAAAAAGAUAAAAUUAAAUAAUUGGAUAACCAUAUUGUAACCUUUCAUACUUGGAUGACCAAAAAAGAAACCUAACAAUAAUUGAGUGAUUGAAUUUUUUUUUACUAAUAAUUAUGUGACUAAUAAUAUAAUUUACCUAUAAAUUUAAAGGUAAAACUUUCCUUAUGAAUGCAUUUUAUAAUAAUAAAUAAAAGAAGAGUUAUAUAUAAAAUUGAAAAGUUGUAACAAAUUGGGGUGAUAAUAUAUCCGUGAAGCACUCCCCACCAUGCUAAUACCACCAAGCUAAUAAUAAACUAAAAAUAACCAUUAAUUUGCUAAGAAAAUGGUUACUUUGGUAGUAUAAAUAGGGCAUUUCAAUGAUGUAUUAUUCAAGCCAAGGGGCAAUAAGUAAUAAGCAAUAAGCAGCCCCACAACUUCAAAAGGUUUUUUUUUUUCUUUUCCUAUCUCUGUUUAAAAUCUAUUUCAAGGGAAAGGAGGAGGAAAAUUUUAUAAUUUUUUGAGGGUUUUUUAAGAAUAAAUAGAAAACUAUGGCGAACAAUGCUGCUGUUAUUGGUAUCUGUUCAGUGUUCUUGGUGGCAGCAGUGGUGGCAACAGUGGUGGGUGUCACGCAUUUAAAAAACAACGGUGAUUCGAAAAGCGGUGAAAUAUCGAGUUCGACAAAAGCAGUGCAGACGGUUUGUCAACCCACACAGUUCAAAGAGGUAUGCGAGAAGAGCCUGGAGUCAUCUAAUUCCACCGACCCUAAAGAGCUGAUAAGGACGAGUUUCCAAGCAGCGAUAGAGGAAAUAAGGAAAGUGUUGGCGAAUUCAGCGACGAUACAAGACUUGAAUAAAGAUGACAACAACAAAGCAGCCCUUAAGGUUUGUAAAGAAGUGUUGGAUUUAUCAAUAGCUGACCUGCAACUUUCAUUUGAUAAGCUGGGGGGAUACGAGAUGAGUAAGAUCGGUGACUACAUACUGAACCUGAGGGUGUGGUUAAGCGGUGCCUUAACUACCUUACAAACAUGUGUAGACUCAUAUGCGGAAGUAAAUAAUGAACAAGCGGAGAAGAUGAAUUCAAUUUUGAAGACUUCAAUGGAGCUUACCCAAAAUUCUUUAACCAUGGUGACUAAGUUAUCCACCAUCUUGAAUGGCCUUAAAAUUCCAGGCCUCAAUAUCGACACGACUGGGUUCGAACGUAAGCUCCUGUCUAACGAUGGACCUGAGUGGAUAGGCCACGCUGAAAGGAGACUACUUCAAGCAAAACCAACAGAUUUGAAGCCUAACGUUGUGGUUGCUAAGGAUGGUAGUGGAAAAUAUGAUACCAUCACCAAGGCCUUGGCUGAAGUCCCUCUGAAAAGCCCGAAUCGAUUUAUUAUUCACAUUAAGGCUGGUACUUACAAGGAACAAGUCCUUUUACCCAAGGAGAUGACUAAUGUUAUGUUCAUCGGUGAUGGCCCAACUAAGACCAUCAUCACCAAUGACCUUAACUGCAUUAGGGAUCAUCCGCUUAAAACAUUCGGCACUGCAACAGUUGGUAAGUAGCAGUAUCUACAUAUAAGUUUUGGUGGUGAGGUGAGGUGACUAACUAGUAUGUAUGUUUGUGAAAUAUUGUAGGUGUGGAUGGGGCUGGUUUCAUGGCCAGGGACAUUGGAUUCGAGAACACAGCAGGACCCCCUGGUCAUCAAGCAGUAGCUUUUAGGGCAACAUGUGAUAUGGUUAUCAUGUUCAAUUGUCAUUUCAAUGGGUACCAAGACACCCUUUAUGCUCACAAAGAGAAACAAUUUUAUAGGGAUUGUCUCAUCAGCGGGACAGUAGAUUUCAUCUUUGGGGAUGCGGCAAGCGUGUUCCAAAAUUGUCAGAUCAUCGCAAGGAAGCCAGGUGAAAACCAGAACAACAUGAUUACAGCCCACGGAAGGAAAUUCCCAUACACUCACUCAGCCAUUGUGCUUCAAAAUUGUACCAUCUCGGGUGCCCCUGACUACCUCCCGGUGAAGGACAAGAGUAAGACGUACCUAGGUCGUCCUUGGAAAGCUUUGGCCAGGACCAUCAUAAUGCAAAGCAAUAUUGAUGACAUCAUUACACCAGAGGGUUACUGCCCCAUGCAAGGCACCGUAGGACUAGACACCGGUUACUUUGUAGAGUUCCAAAACAGGGGACCCGGUGCCAAAACCGAAGGCAGGGUCAAAUGGCCAUCUAUCAAGACAAUAGAUAUAAAUGAAGCCAAGAAAUGGACUCCUGGCGUCUUUCUUGAAACUGCAACUGACAAUUGGAUUUCGCAAACCGGCACUCCUUGUUAUCCUGACAUGGUCCCUGGAGUGUAAACUUCCAAAACCAUCGCCAUUAGUAUUCUUUUAAUAUCAUUAUUAGUAAUCAUGCUGUCGAUUAUUGAUUAAGUUAAACAAUUUUUUCCUAUGUUUUAUUUAUAUUAAUAAUAUAUUCAUUAUUAUGGAAGGAGCAAACUAAAAUUAUUUUCUUAUUCCCGAUUAUAAAAAAAAAAAGAAACUACUAGAGAUAGAUAUAAAGUUUAAUAUGCUAUUAAACAAAAAAAAAACAAUAUUAUUAAUUUUGCUAUGUAUUUCAUUAAUUAAAAUAGUACAUCUUAAUAUAUUUUAUUAAUUAAUAUAAUAAUUUUUAAAAAAAAUAUUUUUUUAGUAUAUAUGAUUUUAAUAAUUUGUAAUUAUCAUUUAACAUAAAUGUUAUUUUAAUGUAUAAUAAAAUAUUUAAUAUAGAUAUAAUUUCAAUACUUUUAUUAUUUUAAUUUAUAAAUGUAAUUUAUAAUAUGCUAUUUAAUGUAAUAUUUAAUAUAAAUAUUAUAUUUCAAAAUUAUAUUUGAGCUAACGAGUCUAAAAAACUUCCGCUACUCCUGGUUCGAUUCAUGCCUUUCUAUCGUUGCAUAUACUAACAACGACAACUUGGAGUCCUACAUCUGCUGAUUUUUAACACUUCUAGUGGAAUGCAAUAUAUGACAUCGGUGUCGGCGUACUACAUUCAUCCAAAUUGAAAAACAAAAUCGUAAAUAUCAUUAUAUAUGAAUUUUUUUACGAAUCAUUACGUAAUUAAUAUAGGUUUGAAAGAACAAGUAACAAACAUCGGCUUCUGAGCAUUGAUCUAACAACAACCUAAUAUCUUUUAACUCCUCGGGUAGUUCCAUGUAGCUCAACCCAUGGUUCCACCUGUACAAGCGAAAUGUUAGUCGAAACAUAUAAUAAAAAAAUUCUACAUUGAGUACGUAUUUGUUAAUAAAUGAUAUUUACCUUAUCACCAAUGGGAACAUAUAUGGGUCGGUCACAUUAAGACGUAGAAAUAGUAGUCACCACCAGGACCACGACUACAGUAGGAAUAGACAACCACAGAUCAACGCUGCACUCAGUAUCGUGGCCCGACACAUCUCCCAGUAUAACGUGGACAAUAUGACAAAUUCCCAAUUUAAUUUCCCGCACUCAUUGAAGUCUACUAAAUGUAAGUCCACUAAAUGUAGUAGCAACCUUACGUAUAACAAAUUUCAAAAUUUGACGGGUAUUAAAAUGACCUAAUUAACCUCAUGAUGUAUGCUUGGGCGUAUUGUUUUAUGACCUCCUCCGUUCGGUCUACAAGGUCUUCAAGGAGCUCGUCAAAAUUAGCAUUUAACUAGUUCAUUGAUAUCUAACCACUUUCAAACUUGUUUGGAACGUCCCACAAUAGUGAUUAGCAGAGGCCCACUUUGCUUAAAACGACCCCUGAUCCCCUGGUGAUUGACCCAUCUACUGGCAAAUCGAGUUGUAGCGUUACAUCAUCGAGUGUGAUUGUACACUUGCCGCAUAGAAGAUGGAAAUUGUGUAUUUCAGGCAUCUAUCUUUCCACCAAUGUGUUGAUUAGUGCCAAAUCGAGUUUGUAGCCCCCGAACAUUUGAGACGCAUGUAAGAAUCCAGCCGCUUUCAAGUGACCACGAAUUUCAAGGAUCGCAGUCUUUCCCAUAUUAUGAAUGAAGGCCUACAGAAUAUGAUCAUCACCUAUUUACACAAUAAAAACAUUUUGAAAUUAAAAAAUAAUUAAAUUUAACAUUAUUGAAAUUAACGAAAUUUAAAUUUUCGACUUACCAUUGCUACUUGUGUAACACCUUGAUUUUGGGCCUAAUCGGAACAGUGGUUUUGGGAGCACAAAUCCGACGAUGAAAAUUUUAUUUUUUAUUAUAUUUUAUGGUCUAAAAUUACACGGAAUAAUUUCGUGAAAAUUUCGUUCGAAAAUUUUGACGUUCGGGCACUUAAUUUAGUUAAAAGGACUAAAUCAUAAAAAGUGCAAAAGUUGAGUUCUACAUACUAGAGGUGUCCAAUUGUUAUGAAAUUUUAAAUUGAAGGUCCUUAAUUAGACCAUUGGUUAAUUUCUGGACAAAAAUAGACAUGAAAUGGGUGUAAUAAAACAUUUUUAAGUUAGGGAUAUUUUGGUAAAUUAAUAAUUAAAAGAAUUAAAAAGGGAAAUAAGCCAAAUUAGCUAUUAUCUUCUUCAUUCAACCCUUUCUACCAGAAACAGCCAUGGUUAAGGUUUUUUCAAGCUCCCAAGCUCGAUUGUAAGUGCUCCCUAGCCCCGUUUUUAAAGUUCUUUACAUUUUUGAAAUCCCAAUAACUAGGUUAAGCUUAUUCUAGCAAUAAUUUAACCUAGGGUUUAUAUUUGGAAAAAUACUCAUAGGUGAAAUGUGUUUAUUUUGAUGUUUUAUGGUAGAAUAUGAAGUUGAAAUUGUGUUAAACAAUUUUUACUAAGCGAUUUUACGUGAAAACACAUAAUCGGUAAAAAUACCUAAUGUUCAUAAGUACAUGUUAGAGUGCGAAUUUGAUGUUGCUAUAGAAGGGAAAAAUGACUAGCAUGUCAUAAAACAUAAGGAAAUAGGAUGAAGUUUAAUUUACGAGCCUAGGGGCAAAAAUGUAAUUUUGACAAAGUUUACGGGCAAAAUUGUAAUUUUUCCAAAAUACUAUUUUGGGUUAAUUUGAAUGAUGUGAGUCCUAAUUAGGCUAUAUUUGAAAUGAUAGAUCAAGGAAAAAUCAAAAUUCGAGAUAAAAUCGAAAAAUAUCAGGUUGUGGACAAAAUGGUAAAAAUGGCCAUUUUCGCAUACGAGGUAAGUUCAUAUAUUUUUUAAUAAUGUAAUGUGUAAUUGAAUGUUAUUGCCUUGAUAUUAAAUGAGAUGUAAGUUCAUGUGUAAAUGUGGUAACAUAAUUGUCAUUUUAAGUAAUUUAAUGAUAUUUAUUUGAUAUGAUGAUUAUUAUCAUGAAAUAUUAUGCUUUGUGGUUAUUAUUGAGUAAUAUGCAAAUUAUAUGAGCUAAUUGAUAAAUAUUAAAUGCUACCAAGUAUCGGUUCCAACAUUCCGUAGAAGACGACAAAGAUGUGUGAUUGAGGAAAAUCCCGUUUGAACCUUGGGAAUAGAUUGGGAUACAAGUGACAUGUCACUAAGAUAUUUGAGUUCCGAACUUGUUGAGUUAAGUCUGAGUUCACUUAUGGAUGCGAACGCCCGAGCUCGUUGAGUUGAGUCCGAGUUCGCUUAUGGGUGGGUUACAUGGUAGCUUGCCUACACAUAUAUUCCGCAGGCUAUUGAGUUUGUCUAGCUGUGGGUAUGGCACUUAUGUGCAUGCAUUCCGUGUAUCCGAUUAUAUUCCGAGUGUUCAACGGGUAAUUUGGCGAAGUAUUAGUUGAUGAUCCUAAUGAGAUAAGCCAUUGGUGAGUAUGUCUUUGAGUUAUGUUACAAGUUGUAUAGGUAUGUACACUAAACUUAUGUGUGAUGCCUUGACAUGUGAUGAUCUAUGAUGUAUAUAGUAUUUGGUGAAUAUUAUGAAAAUGACAUGAUUUGGAAUAAGUAUUUGAUACUUGAUAACAUUGAGAUUAUGGAUUUAUGCUUAUGAAGCAUAAUUAUGUGUUCUUACCAUUAUGAAUGAAAUGUUAUUGUAUGGAUUUGGUGAAUAAUAGUAAUGAAUGAGUAAAUUUAGCCUUGGCAGUUUUGGGUUAUUGCAGUGGUGCAAAUUUGGAAAUUCACCAUAAAUUGUGGAAAUUGAAUUAGGGGCUGAAUAAAAUAUGAGGUUAAAUCCCAAUGAGUCUAGUUUCACAUAGAAGAAACGAUAUAUGCAAUCGAAAUUUAUAUUAUGAGAUAUUUAAAUUGUUGUAAGACAAAGUCUGAAUGACUUCGUGAUCCCCUGAUUUGAUUUGAGAAAAUCAUUAAAAAUUGUAUAAAAAUAAUUAUGGGUUUUAAUUUAUAUUAUUAAAAUCCUUAAUGAGUCUAUUCUCUAGAAAGAUAGAUGAGAGCAUUAUCCGAAUUCUGUACUAUGAGAAAAAUAAUUUUUAGUGAAGAGAGGUCAGAACUGUUGGACAACAAAAUAUGGGAAACUUUAAUGAAUAAACUGUACUAAUUUACUAAAUAAAAAAUUCUUAAAAUUUUAUGGGAGAAAGGUAUGUUAGUCUCGUUUCAAGGAAAAUUAACGAAACUUAAUUUUGAGUCUCGUAGCUCUAGAUAUAAAUGAAUUAGUAACUGUAACUCGGUAAAACAGCUUAACCUGAACAAAAGUAAAUUGUACAAUUAUGAUGUUUUACCUAAAAAAAACAUGUGGGUAAUUGCUUAUUAACUUCAUAUGGACUUACUAAGUAUAAAGCUUACCCUUCUCUCUACUUCUUCAGUUUUGGCAGAUCGGCUCGGGGUUGGAGAUCGUUGGAGGCAAAAUCACACUAUCAAGCUAUCAUUUUUGGGAGAAUUAAUUCAAAUAUUAGAAAUAUCAAGUGAGUGGCAUGUAUAGGAAGUUGGUUUAUGAUGUGUAUUAUUAUUAUGACUUUGACCAUACGUAUUGGUCUGCAUUGAGUCAUCGUAUAUGAUCAUGAAAUGUAGUCCUUAUCCAUUAUGGUUUGUAAGUUUAAUUAAUCAUGCCAUGUCCUAUGUUUUGAUGUGAUGAUAUAGUUAGCUUUGUUUGUUAUGCAUGAUUGGUAAUACAUCAGGUAAGUUAAAUGCAGGCCAGUGGAUCAUGAAUUAAAUGGAAAUGAGUAAUGUUGCCUUGAAUAUGAAUGUUUAAUGGACAAAUUGAUAACUACAUUAUGAUGGUAUAAAAUGAGAAUAAGAUUUAGCAUGUCUAGUUCUAGUUAAUGUAAGAAUAUAUAUUAUAUACAGGAUGGUAAGCAAAUAUGUUUAAAGUGAAUGAUUUGUUAUUGCAUGAUUAUGGAUGUGUAAGUGCUCAUUUAUGCCACGUUAUAUUUCUUUAAAUAUGAGUCUAUGCAUGUGUUCAAAAAGCUUUGAAUUAAAUGAAAUUUUAUGGCCCGGUUUUCGUCUAUGUGUAUGGUUAAGUCUGGUAAUGCCUCGUACCCUGUUCCGGCCUUGGAUACGGGUAAAGGGUGUUACAACUUGGGUGGUAGAAAUAUACUUGUCGUCGAAGCGAAUUAGAGAGGCGACUAUUCGUGAAAAAUCGAUUUGAAUGAUUAAAAAUAAGAUAAUUAAAAAAAAUUAUUUUUAAAUGAAAAUAUCAAAAAAAAUUAAAACGAGAGAGUUGAGAGAAGGAUGUGAAUGAAUAAAAAUAAAAUUUGGGGGUAUUUAUAGGGUAAAAAAAUAACCGUUGGUAUAUUUAAUUUUUUUUUACUGUUGGCGCGACAACAUACAAAAAGCUAUUGUUGGAAAGUGCGUCCAACUAAACGAGCUUUCGAAAAAGCACGUCUAUCUAGGCGCACUUUCCUAACACCUGUACAAAAAGCUUACCCGGCUGAACGUGCUUUCUAUUCAAUUCAACUUAUUUCUUUAAUUAAUUUUAAAAUCGGCCUAAAAACCUAAUUAAUUAAAAAAGUGACUUUUGGACUUAUUUUGCCCUAAUUAAUAGCCCUAAGAAUUAGUUAUUGAAAAAAAUUAUGCUUUUAAUUAGAGGGAAAAGUAUGAAAUUUAAAAUAAAGUGCUUUGGACUUUUUUUAAUACUAAAGUUAACCCAAUAAAUAAUAUUUAAAUUGUUUAAUUUGUCAAUAACAUUAAUGCUGUAUUUGGAUUGAACUAAUAUGUUGUUUAAAAGAUAAAAUAAAUACAAAACAAAUUAUGAUGUUACUAAAAUACAUAUAUAAUGAAAAUUUAGUAAAUAAUAAGUUUUUUAGACUUGCUUGCCCAAAUAGAAUAAAGAGAUAAAAAAACAUCCCCACAAACUGGAGGCAAGUAUCUGCAGCAAGUAAGAUGCAUUGAAAAAAAUAGUGUCUGCCUUAUUCUCUUGAAUUUUAUGGCAGUUAGGAGGGUUCUGAGUGUUUUGAUUUGAUCGUAGUUUUUUUAUUUUCUUAGUUUUUCUUAUUGGUUUUGCUUGGUGGUUUUUUCGACGCUUCUGUUUUGAUUACGAUUUUUCUGAUGUUGAUUCUGGCGGAUAAGACGUUUCUUGCUAGGCUUUUAUCUUUCAUUCUUUUCGGUGAUUUUUUGUCUGUUUUCUCUUUUCUUUAUUUUUUCGUGGGUUUCUGUGUGUAUCUGUUUAUUCUGGUGGCAUUUAUUGUCUUAUGUGUCUUUCUGGGAUUUUGAGUUGGAGUUUGUUUGAGGGUCCCACGGCGCUCAAAAAAAGUUUCUUUCUUUUGACUUUGCUACCUUCCAAUUGCAUCGUCUAUGCAUGUUUUUAGGGUUUCUGAAGGGUCAAAGUACUGUUUGGAGGGUUUCAUGUAUGCAGGUUUUUUGCAUGCUUUUGACUUGGUUUAUUAAAAGUGAUUGGUUGUUUUCGUUUUUGAGAAUCCGGUGUAAUUUUCUUUGUAUUUUUUUACGGGUUUUUCUUUUUUCUUUUCUGUGGUGUUGUUUUUUCUUAAGGCUGCAUUAGAGUGUAUUGCACUUCUUGGUCCUUUGGCUGGCUUUUCUGUUUGACAAGUCCUCUCGGUUCUGUUUUGGUUUUAGGUGUUGUUUUUGUUGUUUUUGUUUUUUUGGUUUUUCGCUUGUUUUGUCUUCUUUUCUUUUCUUUUUUUUUUUUUGCAGAAAAAUCCUUUCUUGGGUGGGUAUCUCGUCUGGUUCCUGCGUUGUGCGCAGUGUCCCCGUGUUUGUGCACGUUUGGCUAACAAAGGGAGGAAAGACCAGAGAUGGAUUCAACAAUAACGACAGAUAAGAUAAAUGAACUUCUGAGAAGCAAUGUAUAGGGUGUUCAGGUCACUUUGGUAUACAAAGGAGGAAGUGGAUUUUGUGGCCUUAAAAGAAGGGGUUGUUAUUGUUAAGUUCGAUUGCCUGGAGGAUCGUAACCGAAUCUUCAACCUUAUGCCUUGGUUAUUUGAUAAAUGCCUAUUCUCGAUGGUGCCAUUUGAGAGAGGAAAGGACGUCGAAUCAUAUGAUUUUGGGUGGUCGCCCUUUUGGUUAUGAGUUUAUAACAUCCCUUUAGAGCUUAUGGAUCGUCAGGUAGCUUUGGAUGUGGAGAAGGCUCUCGGAGAACUAAUGGCAAUUGAUUAGAAGGAUCAAAACGGAGGAUGGACAGAGUUUAUGAGGCUGAAAGUUAAAAUUAACAUAUCCAAACCUUUAAGGAGAAUUGUGAAAUUGGUCAGCAAAGACAGGGAGGAAAUAAAAUGAGUUUUAAAGUAUGAGAGGCUCAAGAAUUUUUGCUAUCUAUGUGGGCUGAUAGGACAUACCCUCUAAAAGUGUCAUAAUAAUGGGGAAGGGGAUAGGAGUGAUAGGUUAAACAUUCAGUAUAGGGCUUGGAUGAGGGCACCUUUGGUGACCAUGAAUCAAGACAGGGGCAUGAGAAGGAAUGGGGUUGAAAUAGUGGCGACUACGAAUCUUUCGAAUGAUGAUGGGAAAGAAAGCCAAACAAAUACAAAUGACGAUAGUGGGCAACAUAUUCAACAAGAAAAAGAGAAAGAUGUAGAAGAAGAUUCGAUAUCAACUUCACCCAUGGAGGAAAGGAGUCACAAGUUGACUAGGGGCAAUAUGGGACGUUUUAGGCACAAAGAAAGAGAAUGAGGAAGGGGAACGGAAAACACCCUGAUAAUAGCCCUUCAAAAUUUGUUAAAUGAAGACUGAUGGAAAGUGUCUAACCUUUAAAGGUAGUGGCUGGCGAUCAGCCCUGCUAGGAACCAUGAAGUUCAUUUGCUAGAACUAUCAUGGAGUUGGAAACCCUACGACAGUUCGUGAGUUGGAGCAACAGCUUGUUGCUAAUGUUUUUGAUGUUGUCUUUUUGUGUGAAACCAAAAUUCACUCUAAUAGUUUCUCUUGUAUUCGUUCGAUGUGUAGGAUGGAAGGAUGCAUGGCUAUCAACUCGGAAGGUAAGAGUGGGGGUCUUGCUUUAAUGUGGAAAGAAGGUGUGAAAGUUGAAGUGCAAAGUUAUUCUAGGUACCAUAUUGAUUCCCUGGUCUCAUUGGACAAGAAUGUUGUGGUUCGUUUUACGGGAUUCUAUGGUCAAACUGACCUAAACUUAAGAAAUCAAUCGUGGGAUAUGUUAAGAAGGGUUAAAAGAUCGGUUAAGGAAGGUUGGAUUGUUGGGGGGGACUUUAAUGUUAUCCUUAACAAUACUGAGAAGGAAGGGGGUCGCAAAAAGCCGAGAAAACCUAUGGAUGAGUUCGGGGACAUCCUGGAUGAACUGAAUUUGGUUGACGUUAAAACGGGCAAUGGAUGGUUGACGUGGUCUAAUAAUAGAGAGGGAGCAAAUCUCAUUAAGGAAAGGCUGGACAGGUUUUUGGUUUCAGAGGAUUUGAUUGAAAAGCUGCCUUUUAUUACUUUUAAAAUGGUGCUUCAAUCGAAGUCAGAUCACGAAGUUAUUUUAUUGGAUACGCUGGGUAGUCAGCUGGGGAUAAAGGGAGAGAUUAUAAGUCUAGCUUUAGGUAUGAGGUUUCCUGGGCUAAGGUGCAGGAAGCUAAGGAUAUUAUUACCCGCAUUUGGGCUGACAAGGAUAGUAAUAUUUUGAAUAUAAUAAAUAAUCUUAGAGAGGAGUUGGGUCCGUGGCAGUAUCAUCGUUAUAAGAGAAUGAAGUACAAGAUUCACGGGUUGGAAAGGAAAAUUGGUAAGAGUAUGGAUGGGCCUAUUAAUGAGAGGUCGUCAAACUUUCUGAAGGCUACUCGCGAUCAGUUGGGUCAUUUAUACGAGACGGAAGAAAGGUACUGGGCGCAAAAGGGCUAGCAUUCAGUGGCUCAGAGAAGGCGAUCGUAAUACUCGGUACUUCCAUGUGUGUGCUAUGGGCCGUAAGAAGAAAAACAACAUCGAUAAGCUUAAAGACAUGCAAGGGACGUGGCAUGAAGACAAAAAUGAGAUUUGCAGUAUUAUUUGGUGCUACUUCCACGAUCUCUUCAAGACAUCCAUUAUGCCGGAGGAGGACGUUGACCUGAGUUUUGUCCCGAUAUACAUUACGGAUGAUAUGAAUAGUUUCUUAAACAGUAAGUUUAUGGAUGAUGAAAUUAUGAUAGCUUUCAAGCAAAUGGAUCUCUGAUAAACCGUAAAUUAUACAUAUUUUUACCCCAUGUUUAAUGCAUUUUAUGGAUGAUUUCCCAUUAGAAUUGGUGAAUUCGAUGCUCCUAAUGCUUUAAUUUCAUGUUUUAUACUUAGAAGAGCAUAGGAGAGCGAAAGGAACGAGAAACGGGCCAAAAACAGAUAAUAGGGAGUAAGUUCCAAAGAAGCCGAUUGAUCCAUCUCAAAAGCCGGAUUCAUCAUCAAGACUGAAGAUCUCUCCUCAAUUUUCUUCAGGAGUUUUGGGUUUUCUUUAUGUUUUGUAUUCUUUAUUCUUCUGAGAUGUUUUCUUAUUUAGUUAUGAACUAAAACCCCUAAAUACCUAGGGGAAUGAAACCUAAGAUGAAUCUUGUUAUUAUUUUCUAAAUCGUAUGAUAAAUAUUUAACUGGUUCUUAAUUAUGUGUUCUUAGUUCUUGUUUUGAUAUCCCAAGAUACUAAUUCAAGAUAAGCUCUUAUUCAGAGGAGGAAUAGACCUUGUCUAAGAGUACAUUUGUCAUAAUUAAGCGGAGUUGAUUGCGCGCCUAGACAUAGGGUGACAAGAUUUUGCCGGUGUAAUGGCCUAAAUUUAAGGUUAUCGGAAUAGUAGUUUCGUAACCACAAAUCUGAUUUAAAGAGAAAUUUAUUCCAAUAUUUUUGCAUAAAAAUUUAUAUGAUAGGAAAAUCGUAUGAAAAUAUUGAUAGAAAAAAAAUUUACCGAUUCAGUGGUUAGUUAGAAAAAGAAAUUAUUGAAGAAAUUGGGUAAAAACAAGGUAUUGGGACCUCUAUCUCGUAAAACCGAGUCACAAAUAAUUUUAUAAAUAUUUAUGAAAUGUUAGUAAUGUGGUAUUAAAAUUUAGUUAGGAAAUUUUAAUGUUUGGGUAGUCAAUUAAAUGAAAAGGACUAAAUUGUAAUAGGUGUAAAAGUUGCUAGAAUGAUUAAAUAGCUUAAAAGUCUAAUGAGAAAGGAUUUAAAAGGCAAUUAGACCCAAAAUUUAUUUGGGCUGGACGGCAAGGGCAUGAAAUCAGCAGGAAAAUUGAUAAAUUAAGGGAAAAAUUGGAAUAUUGCAAAAUUAACUAAAUAAAACUAGGACUAAAUAGGAAAUAUCUCGAUUUCUCUUCAUUUCUCUUCAAUUACAGCAGCUAAAAACGCCAUAGGAGGGUUCUCUAAGCUGGUGUUCCAUAAUUUUUGCACCAAUUGAGUUAAUCCUUCCCUUUUCUUGUAAUUUUUGUGUUUCUAAGACUUUUACAACUAGGUCCUACUAUUAAAUUCAUUAGUUUUUGAUUUCAUGGAUGAAAUUGAAAGUCACCAUGGUUGAGUGCUGUAAUUUUAUGAUGAAAUAUAAUGAAAUUAAAGCUUUAAUUUGUUUAUGAGAUGAUUUUAUUAGGUAAUUUUAAUAGAAAUUAAUUUUUAGGACUUAAUUGUGAAAAUGCUUGGAAUUAAAGUCUAUUGCUGAAAUUCUGAUUCCUAAAGAUUGUAAACUAGUUUAAGGUGAUAGAAUAAAAUGUUAAUUGAGAAAAAUCAGCUCAAUUGAGAGGCUAAUGGAGUAGGGACGAAACUAUCAUUUAUUAAAAGCAUAGGGGAAAAAUGGUAAUAAACAGCUUGCACAAAAACAGUUUGGACAGCAGCAGUAGACUAAGUUUGAAAAAUCACCAUAAAUUGUAGAAAUCGAAUUAGAAGAUGAAAAAAAUAUGGAAUUAAAGCUUAUUGAGUCUAGUUUCUCAUAGAAGAAAUAGUGUAAGUAAUAGAUUUGUAAAUUUUGAGAUAUAAUUAAUUUUGUGAGACAAGGUCAGAAUGAAUUCGGGUUCCCCUGUUCUUACUUUGAAAAAUCAUAAAAAAUUGAAUAAAAAUAAUUUGGGGCUUAAAUUUAUAUGUAUAAAAUCCUGAAUGAGUCUAUUUUUAAAAGAAACAAACAAGAACAUUAUUUGAAUCCUGUAUGAAGAGAGAAUUAAUUUUUAGUGAAUAAGGUUCAGAACUAUCAGACAGUAGAACAAGGGUGACUUUAAAGAAUAAACUGUAUUUAUUUGAUAAAUCAAAAAUUCUUAAAAUUUUUUGAUAAGAAGAUAUAUGAGUCUAGUUUCAGGUAAAAUUAACGGAUCUUAAUUUAGAGUUUCGUAGCUCGAGUUAUAAAUAAUUUAGUGACUAUGACUCAAAUAGAUAACUUUGAAUAAACUAUAAAUAAUAAUAGUUGAAUUAUAGAGAAUGUUGCAUAUGAACAUGAAAUGUAUUAAAUUUAUAAUUAAAUUUAUUUAUUUAGAUCCAGAAGAUUCAAAUAUGAAGCUAGAUCGAGGAAAGGAAAAAAUUUGGGAUUAGUAGAUUUUUUUUGUUUACAAACAAGUAUCAAGGUAAGUUCAUGUAACUUGAAUUAUAUUCUUAAAUGCUUGAGAUUGUAUGUUAUUGAUGUGAAUAUGAUUUGAAUGUUCAUUGUAUGAAAAUUAAUGAAACAUUGAUAUAUUUGAUAAAAUGGGAAGAAAUCCCGGUUGAAUGAAAGGAAAAUUCGAUGGAUCUCUGAAAAGGAAUUGACGGUAAAAAGGAUCUGUAACACCCCUUACCCGAGACUGUUGCCGGAAUCGAGUACGAGGCAUUACUUAGCUUAUCUUACUAAUUCGGGGCAUAAAAAUUCGUUUUAAAAAUUAAUUUCACUGUUUACAGUAAUCUGUCCAAUCGCGCAGCAGUUACUAAAUUGAUUAUAACUCGAGCUACGGUACUCCAAAUUUAAUUUCGUAAAUUUUUCCUGAAACUAGACUCAUAUAUAUUUCUACCAUAAAAUUUUCAGAAUUCUUGGUUUGACCAAUUAGUACAAUUUAUUAGUUAAAUUCUCCCCUGUUUCUUCACUCGACUGUCCUGACCCCUUGGUACUAAAAAUAAAUUUUCUCAUUAUAGGAUUUUCAUAUGAUAUUACCACUUAUUUCUACAGAAAAUAGACUCAAUAAGGAUUCUACACAUAUAAACUACAACUCAUAAAUAUUUUUAUACCAUUUUUAGUGAUUUUAUAAACUCGGAACAGGGGACUCCAGAAAUAGAUCUGACCAUUUCUCACUAAAAUUCACAUAUCUUAAAAUAUAAAUUUCUUUUUGCUAAACCGUUAUUUUUAUAUAAAAAUAGACUCAAUAAUAUUUCAUUUCAUAUAUCAUUCACCCUCUAAUUCAUUUUAUACUAUCCUAGGUGAUUUUUCAAAGUUACGUCACUAUUGCUGCCUGAAUUCUGUUUCUUUGCAAAAUUUUACCAUUUUAUGAUUUUCAUACCUAAUUUAUCACUUAGACUUUUAUAACAAUAAUUAACUUCAUCCUUGACCAUUUAAACAACCAUUCAUCAUCAAAUACUUACACAUCAUUCUAUAGUAAAAUCAUAUUUACAAAUAUACAAAAUUACUAAAUUCCUAUACAUGCCAUAACUAAAAGAAAUGUUCACCACCACAAUUAGCUCAGAAUCGGCUUUGGAUGCUGAUUCAACAAUCCGACUUUGACCUAACCUGCGCACGGAAACAACCGUACGCUGAGUAUGGAAAUACUCAGUGGUAUUACCAUAAUUCGAAUUAAUAACAUUAAUCGACAAAUUAUAUACAUUUUAUUUAUGUCUACAAUUAUUCAUUAAUUAUCUCAUGCAUUAAAUCAACUUGAUAAUUAAUAACAAUAAGCUAUAAUUCAAAUCUUGUAUUUAAUUGUAUUCAUACCUUAUUUCACUAUCUCAAUUCCAUGGGAUUUUUCUUUACAUCUCAUUCCAAUAGUUCAUUUCAAUUCAUAUACAAUUCAUUUCAUUUAAUUUAUAUUCAAUAUAAAUUUUAUUGCAAUUUGUACUCACUAAUAUCAUAUAACAAAAUUUACUCUUUAUCAUAUCAUGAACUUUGGGUUCAUAUUUUUAAAUCUCUUAUCUCGAUUUUCAAAUUCUCACAUCAAUUCACAAUUUCACUUUUGUCCACAGCUUAUACUCUUAGCCCAAAGUAGAUUUUACAGAACACCCCGGAUAUACGGAACAAAUACAGAGAGCACAAAUGUGCUAAACAGAGAGCACUGACGUGCUAAAUAUCAGAGAGCACCAACGUGCUAAUAUUAGAGAGCACCAACGUGCUAAUAAUCAGAGAGCGCGCUAAAGUUCCUUAAUAAGUUCCUUAAUGGCAUGCCACUAAUAUCCUGGUAGUUCUAAAUUCCAUCUACUUGGGCAUUAAAUAUGAAUCUCAUUUAUUUAAAUAUUUUAUAGAAUUAUUUCAAAAAGGAUUUAUCAUUUCUUCGUCAUUACAAUUUACUACUUAUUCCGCAAUUCACAUAUAUCACACUUAUUCACAAUUUAAUUCACUUUUAUUCCAUUCAUAUAUAUAUUUUUAAUUCAUUUUCCACUCGAAUUCAUGUACAAUUCAAUAUCAAUAUUCAUCUUAUUAUUAUUUUUUUUACUAAACAUAUUAUUCAAAAUUCAACAAUUAUUAUUAAUAAAUUCAAUACCAAUACGUAUAUAUAUAUUCAUUCAAUUCUUUCAUGAUACUCACCUUAAUUUGCUUAUCAUACAUAUUAAUUUAAAUUUCAACGAUUAAUAAUUAAAUUCGAAUUAUAGUAAUACUAACCGUAAUUUCUCUCGAGUCACUCCUUGUCCACUUUCUCCUUUCCUUUCUCGGACAAUGACUCGUACACGACAUUAGCUACGUAAUUAAACAAUUAAAAAUCAUUAAUACACAAUUUCAUUAAAAUAUUUCCUUUUAUACCUAAACUUUACCCAAAUUCUAAUUUAAUCCCUUACCAAUACUAAUUUUAUUUUUCCCAAUCUAACUCUAUAUUCUCUCUUAAUUCUUACUAUAAAGUCAAUUUAAUUCCUCAAUUUCACCAUAAAUCCCUAAUUUCGGGAUUCUUUCAAUUUAAUCCCUAUCGAUUCAAAACUUAUAUUUUAUUUUACAAUUACAUUCUUUACUAACUUCUAACUUGAAAUUAAAUCAAUUUAACCCCUAACUAAACCUAUAUAUUUUUCUUUCUCAAUUCAUACCCUUAUUCUACCCAAUUUCUUGCUAAACUCAUAUUUAACUAUUUAAUUUUUAUCAUGUUUUCAUAAUUCCGAAUUUAUUUCAAAUUAAUCCCUAAAAUUCAAAACUUAUAGUUUAGUUUACAAUUCAAUCCUUUAUUCAAUUCCAAUCAAAAUUUCUAUCAAAUACAUCCCUAAUUUAACAAUUUAUUCAACAUGAACCAUGCUUAAUAAUCUACUAACUUCCAAAAUUUCAACUUAAAUCAAGUAGUAUUUUAUUCUAGGAUUUCAAAAAAAAUAUCAAAAUUAAGAGAAAAGGGGAUUAAAUUGACUUACCAAAUUACUUUGAACCUUAAAACCCCAAAUUUCCCUUUUUCUUUUCUUUUCUUUCUUUCUUUCCUUCCUUCCUUCUCUGUUUCGUUUUGCUCUCUGUUUCUUUCUUUCUCCCUUCUCUGUUU
rnacentral:lncRNA from 1 species